UUUUUUUUUUUUUUUUUUUUUUUGGUGUUCGCUCUAUAAUUUGUUUCGUUUUUUCUGUGAAAACAAAAACGUUUGGCAAGAAAGAUACAGAAAACACAAAGUCAGUUAGUUAUUCAAGAUUCAUGACAAAUAAAAGUCUUUAUCCCUGUCGAGAGCCCAACAGGGCUGCUACAACAUGCAGAGAUCCAGUAACUACGAUGACUCCAGUUUGACAUCCGGAACCAGGCCCAAGCAUCUGACCUCCAGCUUUGAUAGAGGCCAUUAAGGAUCCCUCAGCAAAUAAUAUGGGCUGGCGUUCUGAUCUCUCAGCGUGAUUAAGAUUUAGGUCCUUAACUUCAGGUUCAUUAACGUAAUCCCCAAUAUCAAUUCCCAGCUCCCUUGAUGCUUGGGUCCAAGAGCCUCGUAAUGAGGAUGCUGAUGUUGCUCGAGAUUUUUCUCCAGCAAUGCUGGCUUCAGCAAAAAACACAGCCUCCAGAUAUCUAGCUGCGAAGUAGAAGACAGAAAAGGCAUAUAUGAGGGGAAGCACAUCCAGCUGUUGAGCGGUUAGUUUUCCCUAUUCCAGAUGUAGUCAAACCUGAAAGCAGUUCUUUUGCAAAACCCAAAUGAUCUUUGUCAUUUGCCAUGGCAACAACUAGAACUAAUCUUGCUUUCGGAAAUGCCAUCUCGAUGGUGUUGGCUAAAGCUCUAGCAGAUUCCUUGGUGUGAGCUGAAAACGAUACCAUCAUCAUAAUUUAAAAAUCAUAACAGCUUUACAAAGAAAUAUUUGCAAAAUAAAGUGAAGACUUCGCAAACCAACCUCCAUCGAGCAGUAUGGUUGCUCCUGAUAGUCCUAACCUCUCAGCUUCAUUUUGUGUCAAAAUUUGGCUUCUUCCAAUCAAAAAUGCAUUUUCUAGACCAGCACGAAUCGAUUCAUCUGAUAAUUCCCAUCCUAGAAUGAUUGGAAAAAUGAGCAUAUGCAAUCAUGAAAAGCCUGUAAGAAAUGAGAUAAUACUGCCUAAAGAAUCAGCUUGCGACAUUGCUACACUUGAAAUACUCAAAUUUUAAAUCUUAGAAUGGGCAUGAUCCUAUUAUGUUUUCUAUUAGAAGCUCUAAAGUCUCAAUGAUUAUGUUACUUUUGAAACAAGUGGGAUCAUUUCAAUUACAUUCAUUAUUUCUCACCUUGACCACGAAGACAUAGUGCGGCACAAGUGGCAGUUGCAGCAUUUUUAAGUUGGUGAUGACCAAGCAUGGAUAGCUUAACAUUGAAUAAUUCAAUAAACUGCACAAUUGGAGCAAUGAGCAGAUAAAAUGCACAAUUACCACGAAGAAGUAGAUCAGAUGCUAGAGCACAAUGAUUGAUGAGUCACAUAAAGCAGCUAAGGAAAGGCAAGUGAGACUUAAAAACGAGUAAUCAAAUGAAUGCAAAAUUAGUAACUUAUAUACCAACUGAAGAUCUUUCUCAAUCUGAAGCACCAAGUCACAAUAUUGGAAAGGUCUGCCGCGCAUUCUGUCAAGGCUUUUGAGAGUACUUCUAUUUCCAGUAUCAGAUGCUGACACAACAGGAGAAGACUUGGAGCAUGCUUUAUCACGAAGAAUACGCUCAAUAUGUGGAAGGAAUGGCCCACCUAGAACCAACUGAGAUUUCCCCAUAAUCAGAACUCAGGUGUCAUAACUAAUCGCGAUGCAAAAGGUAACAGGAAAACAUAUUCAAGCAAGUACAACACUAACUUACGAUUGGAAAACCAUAACUGAGAUUUCCCCAUAAUCAGAACUCAGGUGUCAUAACUAACCGUGAUGCAAAAGGUAACACGAAAACAUAUUCAAGCAAGCACAACACUAACUUAUGAUCGAAAACCAGAAGGCAAAAGUUUAUAAUGGACAGGAAAAAGUUUCCUCUAUCAUACUACAGUUACUAUGAAAGUAUAAACCACCUUAGAAAAACAAUGUUCACCGAACAACUGAUCUUGUAUUGAAAAUUUACAACCAAACAAGGAAAAAAGAACAUCUCUUACAAUAUGUUAGGCAACUCAGGUUGCAGUUAGAAACUAUUUAGGUGGUCUAUCCACAUAAUGAGUCCCUGUUCUUAACUAUCUGCUAUAGAUUUUACCUUACUCUUCUUAAACCAAAACACAAACUUUACAAGCUUCAAAACAGCAAUGCAGUGCUUCCAUUACAAGAAACCACUUACUCCACAACAAAUGCUUAACCAAAGAAUAUUGUGAGAAUGGUAUAGUCACCUAAUGCAACUCAAGUUCACGAGUGUAAAUCUGGUAAAGUCCACUGCUAAACUAGCAUACAGAAGGAAUGUGUAGAAGAACCACCUAACUGGUCGCCCAUCUUUAAUAAUUCCUGAUUUUGCAACUGCAAUACUUUCCAAGGAACCUCCAAGUGCAUCCAGAUGUUCCUCACCAAUUGAUGUUAUGAUUGAAGCAGCAAGAGCAGACCUUGGAAUUACAUUAGUUGCAUCACGUGCUCCACCUAGUCCCGCCUAUGUGAUAGAUGAAAGGGGGGAAAAAAGUUAAUACCAGUUCAAACAAGAGCCAGAAGCAUUUUAUUUGAAGAUCACUUUGAAGAAGAGACAGGUGGAAAGGGAAAUUAACAACCUGUGAAAUGGUUAAGAUUUCCAAUAAACAAUUCCGAAAUAGAGAUAGUAUUUGGGACAAAAAGAAAGAGGCAUGGAAAAAAAGUAAAGACUCCAAAACAUAGGAGUCAAAAUAAAGUCAGAUACCUCAAUAACUGCAAUAUCAACACUCUCUCGAGCAAAUAGGCUGUAUGCCACAGCAGUGAGAACCUGACCAAAAGACAGAAUAAACACACAGCCAACAGAAAUUGGAGUACACGACACAGAAACUCAUGGAAAGAUCAAGACUGAAAUAUAAACUCAGGCACCAACUUCAAAAUUGCCUAACUGCUCGAAUGCCUAAAAAGACAUAAUCACUCUUCAAAUGGUCAACUAAAAGAAAGGUGUUGUACACAAGCUCAUACUUCAAAAUGACUAAGACAACCAUUUUCAAGUUCUAUUGCUUUGUCAAGAACCAUCCUCAAACUUUGGAAAUGAUGAUUCAAUGCCUUUGCAGAUAUAGGGUCUCCUGAUGCACCCAGUGUUAUGCGUUCCCUGAUAGUUCGUAUAUGUGGACUGUUCAAAGAAACAAUGACUCGUCAAACCCAGAAUUCUGAGAGACAGAAUGGAUAUCUGUUCAUCUUAAUCAGAAUGCUAACGUUAGGAAGAAGGGGAAAAAGGGAUGAACCGCACCUAGUAUAGCAACCGACUGAAUACCCUUGUGCCCGUAAAAUGCUGGAGAGGAAUGCAGCCGUUGACCCUUUUCCCUUUGUCCCAGCAACGUGAACAGCCUGUUUUACAUAUCAAGCCAAUCAAAAUUCUAGCAUGGUACAAAUGGGUGGACGUUCAAAAGGUGCUGUAAGGAAAAAUUGCGAGUGCAAAGAAACAAGUAUCCUCCGCAAAAGCUAAAAACUACUAACACAGAGUAUCCGUAGUCCAUCAAAGUAUCCAAUCAGCAGAUGUAAAGCUUGCAAAGGCAGAAUUUUUCGCAUUCGCCAAUAAUUUCAAGAAUUUCAAAAAGAAACAAAUCAAAACGUCGUAUAUUUUGAUAAUGAUAGAGCAUUACGGAAUAUAAUUUGGGGGGUUUUUUUUUGUAUACCAAAUUAUAUUGAUACCUAAACAAAGCAAAAAGAGCGGAUAACAGAAGCUAGCAGCUGUUCAGCAAGAAAAAGAGUUCAAGGAAUUAAAAGAAGGAUGGUAAAGGGAGGAGAAAACAGACCUUAAAAUUGCACUGAGGAUUACCCAGAAGUUGCAUUAGCCGCCUCAUCCUUCCAAGAUCGAACCCAUCAUCAGAGUCAGUUCCUGCGCCUUUAGGGACACCAGCCUUUUCAUAGUUCUUGAGGUUGUCAAUAAAAUCUAUAAACUCCUUCAGUUCUGGUUCAUCUGAGAAAAUACACAUGGGUUGCGUCUGAUCUAAAUUGUAGGAAUGCUUGAGAAAUUUAACGGCUGGAGAAGCUGGGAUUUGUCUGUGAAUUGUGCUUAAUCUAUGAAAUAACCCAACAGAUUUCAUCUUCUUUGUUCAGCUUGCUUCGUGUUCUAGUGCUCUUUGCUCCAGGCUUUUCUCUUCUUCUUCUUCUUUUUUUUUUUUUAAAGAGUUAUUUUUAGGGCUUUAAGGAGUAACGAUCUGAACCCAAAUACUACUACACAAGCUAAAAGGAAGCCCCGCAGCCCUCAGGUAAUCUCCUUUCAAAAAACGUUUGGAUUCUUGUUUUUGGGCUUGUUUUUUAAAACUGUUUUUCACAAUCCAAAUGCUACAGUAAAUGUAUAUUUCAAAAACAACUCCAAAAACACAUAUCCAAACAAUAUAUCAAAAACAACUCCAAAUACAUAUUUAAUAUGUUUAUUUCAAUUUAUAUAUUUCAAUUAUGUAUAGGAUAUAUAUAUAUAUUAUAUUAAUUUAAAUAUAUUUAUUUAUACAUAUUAUAAAUAUUUUAUUUUAUAUAAAAUAUAUUUUUAUAUAUUUAUAUAAAUAUUAUAUAUUAUAUAUAUUAUAAAUGUGUUAUUAUACAUUUAUAUAAAUGUUAUAUAAAUGUGUUAUUAUACAUUUAUAUAAAUGUUAUAUAUUAUAUAUAUUUAAUAUAUACAUAAUAUAUAUUAUAUAUAUUGAACAUUUAUAAAAAUGUACAUUUAAACAUAAUAUAUAUUUAUGUAUAUUUAUAAUAUACACUUAUAUUAUGUAUUAUAUAUAAUAUAAUACAUUUAUACAUUUAUAUUAAUAUACAUAAUAUUAAUUAUAAAUUUAUACAUAAUAUUAAUAAAUUUAUACAUUUAUAUUAAUUACAUUAAUACAUUUAUGCAUAGAAUUAAUAUAUAUUUAUAAUAUAUUAAUUUAUACAUUUAUAUAAUAUUCAUUUAUAAUUUAUACACAUUUAUAAUAAUAUACAUUUAUACAUUUAUAAAUAUAUUUAUAUUAUGUAUUAUAUAUAAUACAAUACACUUAUAAUACAUUUAUAUUUUUAUUUAUAAAUAUAAUAUAUAAUAAAUAAAUAUAAUACACUUAUUUAUUUAUAUAUAAUAUAUAAAUUUAUUUAUAAAUAUAAUACACUUAUUUAUUUAUACAUAAUAUUUAAAUAUAUUUAUUUAUAAAUAUUUAUAAUUGUAUUAUAAAUGCAUAAAUGUAUAUAAAUAAUUGACUAUAAAAUUAUAAAUUAUAAAUUAUAACACAUUUAUAAAUAUAUUUAUGUUAUGUAUUAUAUAUAAUAUAAUACACUUAUAAUACAUUUAUAUAUUUAUUUAUAAAUAUAAUAUAUAAUAAAUAAAUAAAUAUAAUACACUUAUUUAUUUAUAUAUAUAAUACACUUACUUAUUUAUAAUAAUAUAUAAAUAUAUUUAUUCAUAAAUAUCUAAAUAUAUUUAUUUAUAAAUAUUUAUAAUUGUAUUAUAAAUGCAUAAACGUAUAUAAAUAUAAAAACAUAAAAAUUAUAAAUUAUAAAUUAUAAUAUACAUUUAUAUAAUAUUCAUUUAUAAUUUAUAUAUUUAUAGUAAUAUACAUUUAAACAUUUAUAUAUAAAUAUAUGAAUAUAUUUAUUUAUAAAAGUAUAAAUAUAUUUAUUUAUAAAUAUUUAAAUAUAUUUAUUUAUAAAUAUUUAUAAAUGUAUUAUAAAUGCAUAAAUGUAUAUAAAUAUAAAAAUAUAAAAUUUAUAAUUUAUAAUUUAUACAUUUAUAUAAUAUUUAUUUAUAAUUUAUACAUUUAUACAUUUAUAAAUAUAUUUAUAUUAUGUAUUAUAUAUAAUAUAAUACAUUUAUAUAUUUUUAUAUAAAUAUAUUUAUUUAUAAAUAUUUAUAAAUGUAUAAUUGUAUAUUGUUAUAAAAAUUUAAAAAUUAUACAUUAUAAAAAUACUCGAAAAUAUGUUUUAAAAAUACAUCUAAAAAUAAUCCAUAAAACAUCUACUGUAAAAGUUUUUUAUAUAAUUUUUGAAAAACAACCCCAAAAACAACUAAUCCAAACGGACUUGUAUUUGAAAAACGAAAUGCUACAGUCCUGUUUUUGAAAAACAACCCAAAAAACAGCUAAUCCAAACGGACCCAAGAACUUCUUAGUAUCUAAGCUAGGAAAAAACACUUGCUUGCUAUGAUUAUACGGAGGAAAAUGUUAUUCGCACUCACUCUCAUUUUUAUUAAUUAUAGUACUCUUAUUAUUAUUUUAAUUAUAUAAUUUUUAUUUAUAGAUUAUAUGAUAAAAUAAAUAAAAAUUAUUAAUUAUACUCUCACUGUUGUUUUGAUUAUAUAAUUUUUAUUUAUAAAUUAUAUGAUAAAAUAAAUGAUAGAAUAUAAAUAAUAAAAAAUACAAUGGAAAUAACAUUUUUCGUAUACAAAACCAACAAUUAAUUAAAAAAAAUUGUAAUCGGUUAAUCAUGGUACUUGAGUUUUGCGCAUAAAAGAAAUGACAUGUGUAUAACUAGUUAUCUCGUUUUUUCUAUCUUAAUUAAAUAACCAACAAAUUUCCAAAAGUUUGGAAAUACUUUAAACCAACUAAGUGCACUUUUUUUGUGUGUGUUUUGGGUGUUUUUUUUGGGGGGGGGGGGGGGGGGACUGUGCGUUUAAAAAUCAUAAAAAUAAACUUGCACACCCUAUUAUGUAUUUUGAAAAAAAAAACACUCAAAAGGUGUGAAAAGAAACUAAACAAGGUCAUGAUUUAAAAAAAAAUUGUGAAUAACCUACUAAAUCGAGUGUGCUUUAAUAGGAGUUAAUUUGAGAUAUUAUUUGCAAAAAUUACUAUUGCAUUUUUUAUAAUAUGAUAUAUGUUACAAAAUAUAUUUGUAAUACAAAUAAAUAAUUUUCUUUAUAUAUAAAUGCUAUCCAAACACUUGCCAACUUUUGAAUAAGACGAAUCAAAUCUAUUCCAAUUUUUGCCGUUUUUUCUCCUGUUGAGUCAAACUUUUCUACUUGUAAAAUAUGAGAAAAUCGUACAUGAAUAUUCUACCAGGUAUUCAAGAAAUAUUUUGUAUUUGUAUAGUAAAUUAUUUGAGAUAAUUUUGUAAAAAAAUAUUGUAAUAUUUUUUUGAUGUGAUGCAUGUGAGAUAAAAAAAUGAUUGAAAAAUAUAUUGAUAAUACAAACAAAUUAGUAUAUUUAAAUAAAAUGAAAAUAAUAUAUAACACACUGACGCGUUCACUUUUAGAUUACGUUCAAAAUUUAAUCAAUACAAAGGGUUUUUUUUUUUUUCUUUUUUGAUUGGGGUACUGAAUUUCAACUGAUAGCCAAUAUUUUUGUCGCCAACUGGUGUGGAUUAUUCUAGUAAAACAUUUUACUCUUGGUGAUAAUUGAAAUUCCCACUUUCACUUUUGCAAUUUAGCCCUAGCAAUUAUUCCCCGCUGCUGCUCCUCCAGGCCUCCCCCUCCCUUACCCUGUAAGUAAUUCAGUCUUCUAAGGUACGCCUUUUUUUUUUAUGCUUUUUUUUUUUUUUGUUUUUCAAAGUUUAUCUGUUUUCUUGCCAAUAAAUUCGUUCCUAAUGCGCAAGUUGCUGCCUGGCUUUUAGUAUGAAACUGUAAUAUGAGUUACAGAGAUAGAAACAGAAUUGACUGGGAAAACGAUUUUAAACACUAAUGCAGAAGCAAACUUCGGACUAGCUUGCCCUUCUCCGGCCGUCCGCCCCCUCCCCUGUAUGUCUCCUUUUUUUUUUUUUUAUCUGUCUUGGACGGGUUCUUGGUUUUAAUAUCUUAUUCUACUUAGUAGGGCAUGUUUGCUUGUGGGUUCCAUGUGCUUGGAUUUUCAGUCAAAGGGUUUUUAGUUUUGUGUACGAACUAGAGUAAGUAGUAGUUUUUUGGAAACCAGGGUCUGGUCCUGAAAGUAGUUACUAAUAGACAACAACGUAUCAAAAGGAGGUUGUGAUCCAGACAUAAAGAAGAUGAUGCAUAUAGGCGAAAUACUACCCACGGCUGAUGCUGGGGUUAAAUUAGAAGUAAUGGAAAACAAAGAAAACAAUCAUGGUACUUCGUCUGUAAAGAGAGAAUUAGAGUGCUGCAGUAACUGUUGGGGAUGGGAAAAGAAGUUCAAGCAGGCAGAAGAGAGGCUCGUGGCGUUGAUGUCCCAGUUUGAGAAGAAGAUAAGUGAGCUUGAAUCUCUGGAGGGAAAGCACAGUGCACUACAACUCGAAAAGCUUGUGACAGAAGAUGAGGUUCAAUCUUUGAGGAAAAGAAACCUAGAGCUUGAGGAGAAAGUUGCUUGUUCCUCGAAUGGUAAGAGGUCUAUGGAUGGAGUGGAAAAGGGGGUAGAAGGUUUUGUUGAUUUAAUGGAAGAUGCAGGGGCUGACAAGGUUGUGGAUUUGAUGAUUGAGAAUCAGGUUUUGCUCUGUGAGAAGAAGAAGGCUGAAAGUGAGGUUGAAGUUUGGAAAGUAAAGUGCAGAGAAUUGGAGUCCCAGGUAUUGGAGUUGGAAGAGCGUUUGACCUCUGUAGAAGGGGAAGGUAACUUGAAUGGAACAGCCAAAGUAGGCAUGGCAUCACCUGGAGCAUGCAUGGAAGAGAUUACUGGAGCAAAAGGGUUUCCAGGUGGAGUCAAUGGUGCUGCCACUCCUGGAGCUGAUGCAUUUUGUACAAAUUUAACACAUGUAGACGAAGGAAAGAGAGGCAUUCCUUUUGAAAAUCGCAUGGGAUCUGGUAGUCGAGCAAGGAAGCAGUUAGUUUUUGGAGACGAAGGGAGCCCCAGUAAGAAGAUCGCUCCUACAACACCAGGUGGUGUUAGACCUUCUUCCCUUAGUAUUAUUGACAUCAGUGACAGUGAGGCUGAAGAAAAUGUCUCUUAUUUGAGUACUCUUGAUUUGCACACAAGUAAAAAGGCCUGCGAAUCAACUGAUUAUGGAGGAGCGAUUACUCUGGAUAAAAAGCAGUUUCCUUGUACAAAGAAUUUGGCUAGUGCUAUUGACCAAACUAAUGAUGAUGAUGUGUCUUGCCAAGUUGGAAUUGCCCCCUUUAUGUCAACUUCUAAAAGGAAAAGAGCUGCCAAAAUAGUUGCUAGUGACAGCGAAACUGAUACGGAUGAUUGCUUGCCUAUUAGUAGGCUAAGGACAAAUUCUAGGAUGGCUACCGCUUCCCCAGACAAAGAGGGAGAACCUGCAGUUAGGCGGCGCUUGGUGACGUUGAGAAAUUUGAAAGAGAAAGGCACUUCAAAGAAAAGCUCGCCUAGAAUUUCAAAGAGAAUCCGGACUGAGCGACUUUGUGGAAUACCAACAAAUAUGAUUUCUUCAGAUGAUGAAGAAGAAGUGAAUGAGUCAGACGGUGAAGAAGAUGACUUUAUUGUACAUGACUCUGAGUCAGAAGGAGGCAGUGCUUCUAAAGAUCCUAAAGAUGAUGACAACUGUGAUGGUUUAUUGUCUGGUGGUGAUUUUUCUGGUGAAUCAGAUGAUGCAUCUGAUGACAGUCUUGACUACAAAGCUAUCAUAGCCACCAUUGGAAGGCACAAAGAUCAUAAAGUGAAGUGGGAAUUCCAGGCAGAUAUGCAAGCUGCUUUUGGUAAGGACAUUCAGCUCUGUAUGAAGGCUGUCUGUGCUCUUUAUCGCCAGCAAACCACUGAGGAAAAGUUUCAUAAAGCAACAAUAGUGCGUAAUGAAAGAGGAUUUAACCAGUGUGAUGCACGCAGGUAUGCAAUAUGUCAAUCUCAAGAUAUGAAUUGCUCAUGCUUUAGAAAUUUUUCACUCUCAAUGUGCACAAUUUUUGUUCCUAAUGUACAUUACAGACGUGCGAAUGUAAAUGUACAUAAUGUGUUUGCUGUUAUAUAUACACACCCGGGCAGAUACAGAGCUUGCAUUCGGGUGUUAAAUUGUACAAAGAUAGUAAGUUGGGGAGCCACCUGAUAGAUAAUAUAUAUUGGUCAUCUUUUCAUCCUGGGAGGGUGCAGGUGUUGAGACAUUUAGCUGUCUAUGUAUCUAUCUAGGAAAGUUUGUUAUGAAUCUUAAAAUGAAUCUAUUGCAUGUAUUUGGUUUCUGGUUCUUGAGUGUGCUUCUUUUGCAUGCUGGCAUGUAUUUGCAAAGUAAAUUUUUUGCAAUAAAAGGUUCUUAUAUAUUUUGUGCUUAUUAGUAGUCACUGUGCUAAGGUCUACCAAAAGAAACAAGCUAGAGCCCCUGCCAUAAGGAGUGCUUCUUACUGAUUGAAAAUGUAAAUGCUGAUGUGUUCUCGUCGUCUUUGCUAAAAUUUCUAAUUGCCUUGAAUUUGAUGCUACAGGAUCCCUUGAGAUCUACAGCACGUCAAUAUUGAGUUAUAUAGUUUAUUUGAUGAAUGAAGAAGAAUGAUAGGUUGUAUAGAUUGCAAUAAGCUGUUUAUGACUUUGUAGGGGUACGUCAUUGGGUGAAUUUCUUACUGACGGGGAUCCACAAGGUGACCUGGUGAAAUCUGUAGAAGAAUUGGAAGCACGUGAUCCAAAAUGGCUCGAACUAUGUAGAACGCUGGCAACACAUUAUGCUAAACAAUUGUAUGAGAUAUAUCAGAGCAACGAGGAUCCUCUUUGGACGGCCUUAAACGGCUGAGAUAAAGGCGUUUAAAGUUGUGCAUAAGCAUCAAAUGUUUUAGACGAUAGGGAAUUGGAGGCAAAACUACUUUUUGAGGUAUCCUGUGUCUGAGCCUUGUUGCUUGUCAGCUGUUUGUAAAUGUUUUAUCCUGUUCGUUUUGCAUAUGUUCUGCAGAUUCUCAUGGUUUGCUGCAUGUGAAUAGACUAGAAAGUGUUUUUUCUCUUCUCUGACGUAUUAUCUUGAUGAGUCACAGAAUACCCUGACUGUAGUACGUAGUACUAACUGCAGAAAAUGUACUAUCGGCCACUGGGGAUCUAAAAACUUUUAGUUCUUUUUGGCAACUUUUUGCAUCUCUGGCAGCUGAUUCCUGAACUAAUAUACAUGGGUGACGAAUCUUAUAUCUGCAACAUGGAUAGGUGGAGGCAUUCUAGGCAUGACCUUUGUUACUUUACCAUUACGCCUUUGUGUUCCCUUAGCUUCAUUUGCACUUUUACUCGAGGAAUAAUUGCCCUUGUGCCAAUAACCAUCUCCCCAAGGAUAUAGAUUUCCAGGAGAGGUUCGGUUGGUCACUUCUACAUCUAUGAGCGAUGCUCCGGUUCGCAUUCAUAUUUCACCCCUUGAGUGGACUGUCAUGGACCUUGUAAGAAGGCAUACCUAUAUUAUCCAGAGUGUUUUUAAUUCUAUUUCUACUAUCCUUCCUUGCACAUUCACUGAAGGGUACAGACCUUUAGUACUUGCCGUAUGAGCUCUAACGUAUUGUGGUUUCUCUGUAGAUCGGUUGGGUAUCAAGAUUUGGUGUGCCUUUAGGUAAUUGAGCUUCAAUGUUUAGCUAUUUAAUCUUUACUGCCUAGUUUAGGAGAUGAGAUUUGAGCAGAAAAGAAAAGAAGGGAAGAGAAAGGUAGCAUCUCCCACGUUUGACAGUUUUAAGUGAAAUAGAAAGGAAGAGAAUCUAACAGAUUUGGAAGGAAGAAGAGGCAGCUACAGUUUUAAAAAAAUUUUCGGCCCAAAUCGGGCAGAAAUCAAAGGAAAGGCUGCAAAAAAUUUUUAAAUUACCCAUUCUAUCCUUAAAAAACUAUUGAAUAAAUAUUUAUUGAUCAAUGUGUUCAAAAUCACCUCCUUUCUUUCAUAAACUCCCAAAUAAUAUUAAAAUCUCUUCUCUUCUUUUCUUAUUCUUUCUUUUCUCUGGCAACUUAACCUUUCUCUUCUUUUCUUUUCUAUCCCCAACUCACAAACUAGCUACACAGGUUUGCUUGCAUCGACAUCUAACUGUCUAAGAAAUGCUUUGUUGAUUUGCUAGUCAAAGACGUUAGGCUUCCUCUCUGGCCGCGCCACAAUUAUCGUUGGCGGCUGUAUGACAGUGAUAAACACCUAUCACACCCAACCCCCACCCCUUCCCCCCCUGAAAAAAAAAAAAAGAUAGUGAUUGAUUCCAAGCUGACAAGUAAGGGGUUCAAAAUAGAUGAUUCGGAUAUAUUUGAGCGGGACAUAAUUGGAUAAUCGAUAUAAUAGGCUCAAUCUAUUUAUGUCCAUUUAAAUAAAUGGGGAUAAAUAGAUCUCAUUUAUAUCGAUUUAUGAGUUACUAAAAAUUUCACUUUUUUUUUUGUAUUUUAUUGUUAUUAGACAGGUAAGAAAUUCAAAUUUAUUUGCUUAACAUUCACUAAAAGUUUAGUUUAAAUGCAUAAUUGGGUAUAAAUGGGUGAACCGAGUGAAUCCACUAUCCACCAAUUAAAUGGGUUUAAUUGGCUACCUCUUUAGACCCAUUAAAAAUUAAUGGAUGAAUUUUAACAAGUUAUUAAUUAGUGGGCGAAUUUGGACGGAUCAACAUAGUUGAAUUGUAAUUGAUACCUCCAUUUUGACAUGUCAAUUCAACUUUGGGUGGGAAAUAGAGGAGGUGGGGAGGGUUUAAAAAUAAAAAAAAAAAAUCAACAAUGGCUGUAAUUGAUACCUUCAUUUUGGUUUAGGAUCAUGAACUGCAUGGCAGUUGUUGGAAGAAGGAUCUAAAUGUAUAUGGGUAUAUGACCCAAUUUUUCACUUGUCUGCUAAUAGAAGCGUUGUUUUUGGACGAGCAAGGACUUACUUAAGCCCAGGAUUUUUUUUUUACGGCCAUUGUUUCUAUCUAUUAUUAUCUAAAAAUAAUCUAAGUUAUUAAUGAUUAGACGAAAUUAAGAAAUAACUUGUCACGUGCAAAAUUAUAAUAGAAACGCACUCUCUUGCACAAUUUUAUUUGUUUGUAUCGUAAGCACAUUUUUCAACUACUUUUUUUUUAUCUCACAUAAAUCAGAUCAAACAAAUGUUGUCAUGUCUUUUUAAAAUAUUAUCUCAAAUAAUCUCCUAUCUAAACACACUCAAUGCUUUGUGUGGACUGGUGAUCUUUCAGUCUCCUCGGCACAUUUGAGUAAAUUUGGUUCCAUGGUUUUGAUAGUAUUCAAAUUCACCCCUCCAAAAUAUAUGCAUUCUUCUUCUGAUUUUGGAAUCCUUCACCUCGUUUUGCAUUUUUGGGCCGGCGGCUAAACAAAAACAAUAUGAUAUGAUACAAACCUCUAAAGAAAGAAGUGGUAGCGUUUUCAAAUUUUGGUAAGAAUAAUAAAUAUUUUAUAAUUGGGACAGCAAUAAUAUUCUUGAAAGCUUAAACCUAAUUAAUUACUCGGUUAAAAACAGAAGGUUCCAAAAAGUGGGAAAAAAAAAAGGACAAAGAAAGGAAAACAUGACAGAGUGGCACUCAAUAACAACGCAGCAUCAAGUGCUGUAAUUCAAAGCUCCACCCAAAUUUUGUAAAAAAAAAAAAAAAAAAAAAGGAAAAAAAUUCAAAUAACGGUCACAUGGGAAAGUGCGGUCCAGUGCACGCACUGCAAUUGCGGGUGGGGGGCGUGGGUCCCACAACGGGAAUGGAAGGGUGAUGGACAUCGUUAUGCGUUAUGCAGAUUGGGGGGCUGGCCGCCUUCCUCUCUCAGCCUCUGCGCUGUCUUAUAUAUACUUUGGGGAAUCUCAUUCGGCUGAAGUAAUUGAAGCCGUAAAUCCCUUGAAGGCAACAUAUAGCCAUAUACAUUGUUCCUGUCACCGCUUUCUUGUCUCCCAUACUCUGCGGCUGCGGCUCCUCCUCCUCCUCCCUCAACCAAAGGCGCAGCCGCUGUUCGCAGAGGAACGGGUGUAGGAAAUCCAAUAUUCUUCUGUUCGCAUCGCAGAGGAACGGAAACCAAUAUUCUUUCGGAGACAAAACUAACCUACCCAACAAUGGAGGUGGUGUCAAGGGCUUCAAUUGCAUUGGUGGCUGUCAUCUGCCUCGUCUUAGCCACUGCUUUCCCCACCGCCGCUGCCAUGGCUAAUGCCCCUGCUCCUGCUCCCACCAGCAGCGACGGUACAGAUUCUUUAACCCCAUCCAACAUUUUACUCACCUUUAAUCCCUCCUCAGCAACACUAGUAAUAUAUUCAAUAAAUGUAUUAAUGGUUUUUUUUUAAAAAAAAAAUUUUUAAUUUUGGCAGGUACGGCGAUAGAUCAGGGGAUAGCCUACGUCCUGAUGCUGCUGGCAUUAGCGUUGACAUACAUCAUUCACUAAAUGAUCUUUGACGUGCUUCUUCAUCAAUUAUCAUCUUUAUCACGGCCUUCAUUCAAAAUCACUUGUACAAAAUCUGAAGGAAGGGGAAAGGCAAAUGGAAGAAGCAAACAUCCAAUUUUCAACCAAAUUCAACAUUGAUUUUUGAUGGCACAUUAGACAGAAGAGGCAACAUUUAUUCAAAAAUAUGGACUCGGUUGAUAAUUUUUAUUUUAUUUUGUUUAUCCUUCAUCAUUUUCCAGAGUAGCCAGAUUUUUUUUUAUCGGGUUUUUGGUCUGUAUAGUUUCUUCGUAGUUUUCUUUUCUUUUUCUUUUUUUAUUUGAUUUCUGGGAUUGUUUUUUUUUUUUUUCCAAUUUUUAUCGGGUCUUUCAAUUUUUUGUUUAAUUAGAAGAGUAUGUUUACUUUUUUUUUUUUCCUCUUUUGUUAGGGAUCGGCAGUAGUACGGACCUUUUAUUUAUUCAUUAUUAUUUUUCCAUUUUUUUGGGUUUUGUGGCCAAGAAGAAGCGUUGGAGGAAAUAUGAACAUUCCCAUGUUGAGCUAAGAAGAGAAAAAGGAUUCAGACUUUGUCAGACAAAUUUGCAGAUAUCUUCAAGCCAAAGAGUACAUAUAUUUUGAUUCCAAAAAGAAGAAAAUUUGUUGCACAGAAGCUAUGUCGAAUAUUUCACUAAACGGUUGAUGAUUUAGCUAAAUUCUUCUGCCUCUGCUUCUCAGCUGGCUUUAAAAUUUUGGUCAAACAACAAAAGAUAAAUGAAGGGAACCGUACAAAUUUUCUUCUUCCAUCGCACGACAAAUUCGGUCAUGUACCAAGAGCACAUUAUUACAACAAUGUCGCUAAUAAAUAGUUUGGCCAGUCACCGAAAAAUUAAUGGGGAAAAAAAAAAAAAAAAACCUAGCCCGCUACUUUCUUUACCCUUCUCUUACCACACAUGAGAAACAAAUAAUUUUCAUUACUCUUCCGCCUAUUUGAUGCGCUGGUUAUUAGGUGAUGGAUUUUAGCAGUAUUCUUUAAUUCCAUAGAUGUUCAUAUUGCUCUCAUGGUUGAUGUAUUGUGUUCGAAAUUUAAGUUAGGUUGCCAACCAUUCACCAUUUUAUUAAAGAGUAAAUGUUAUAUGUAUUGAUAAUAUGUACACAAUCGUUAGACGAAUGUUAUAUCAGUAAAACUUACUGCUAGUUUAGAUUACAAUUUUCCAAAGAAAAAUUACUACAUUUUCUGUAGACAUAACAUAUUUUUUAAUUAUCUUUUUAUCUCAUGUUAUAUCAAAUCGUUACAGUAUUUUUUUCUAUAAAAAACCCCCAAAAAAAUGCAAUCCAAACAAAGUCUUAGAUUUGAAAUUCAAAUUCAAUAUACGUAAUAUUCAUUUAAACCUAAUAAUGCAUGCAACGUUCAUAGAAUAUUAAUCAUCUAUUAAAUGAAUUAAUCUUUCAUAGAAUAUUAAUCAUCUAUUAAAUGAAUUAAUCUUUCCUACAAUAAUAGUAUAUAUACACUGUUAAUGUAGGAUGAAUGACAACUGUAUAAAAUUUGAAUUUGAAAUUUAAUUUUUGCAUAUAUAUCAUGGUUCCAAUGAUAAUAGUAUACGUACUGUUACUUAGUGCAUAUAAAAUUUACUCUUAUUAAAUAUUACUAGUCUAUUUAAGUUGCAAGCAUGCUAUCCACAACUCAAUGGGCUGGAAGGAGACCCAAAAAAUCCUCUAUCCCGAACCAUAUUCGUUUUGGCUCUUGCUUGCAAUCCCCAACCAAUCAGUAAGCAUUUUCCUUUUGGCACACUGACUGGAAGCGUUCUUGAUCCGCAGAUGGACCUUUCACUUAGCAGAAUUUUGUUGAAUAGCCUCUCCCAUAUGAAGGGUCAAUAGCAUCCAACUGUAUUGAUAGAUGCUUUUAUGCUUUAGUUCAAUUUCAAGUAGGGUCGAGGCGGGGAAUUGGGAACUCCCCACGUCUCAUAAUGGAAUCCAACUAAUCCCUCCAUUACAUAGUAAACUUCCACAGCUCAAUUAGUUGGAACAAAUAAAAAAAAAUUUCCCAAGCCCAGAUCCCCAUUGAAGACGCAAGACAGAAAAAUAUGUUUCCUGCUACUAACUGAGAUGUUUAUCCCAAGAGAAACCUGCUAACCGGCCAAAAUUUUUUUUUUUACAAAAUAUCAUAUCAGUUCCUAAACCACCCAAGAAGGUAGAAACAUAACCGAGGAGAUAAAUUAUUUGUGGCAUUCGCAGGUUGGACGAUCCAACAUAUCACCAAAACUGCCUGUAACGUCUUAGGGAGUUAGCUUCAAAUAAGUCAGCAACUACGCUCUUUCAACAGUGGAGAACCAACCUUCAAAUGAUAAAUAGGAUUGUUCUCCGCAUGUUACACUUCAGUGGCAUACUGUCGAUGAAAAACAUACUUAACGACUUCAUAGAAUGAAACCACAAUUCCAACUGAAGGGCCAGCACGAGCAACACGAGGACCCACACCAGUAAACAGUCCUUUUAUUCCCCAAUCUCUGUGCGAUCAAAUUUGCAAAUUCAGACUCCGAAACGUCAGAAGCGAAAUAUGAAACAGAUUUUGGCAGGAAGAUGGUCCAACAGAUAUUUCUACUGAGACAACCAAUUCUGCUGAUUCCCUAAAUUUUCAUAGUUCUACAGAUGCAACAUAAUUGACUUUUACAUAGUCCAGCAAAUUCCCAAACCCAACUUCUUGCAGACAGCAAUCAAGAAGAUUAAAUGGGUUAAAAAAAAAUCCAUAUAAGAAGAAGAUAACAAACAACAGACCGCAGAAAAGUUGAAAUCUGUGAAUCAUGCUCUAGGGAAAUCGAGCUUCUGGUUUCUUUAAACUGAAGCAUCUAUUCUAUCUGUCUUAAAAAAAUGCAACAUGCCUAAAUGGAUUUGCAUUUGAUCUAAACAGGGAUAAUGUCAUGAGCUACGUGUAGCAACGAAAAAAAAAAAAUCAAAAGUCAGAAGACGCUACCUCCAAACCUCCAGCAGUGUUUGUCUAGUGGUCAUCCUUAGUGCCCUGACAGGAUCCUUCUGUGUACACAACAGGUGCAAGGACAAAAUGAGUAUUUAUUAUUGGCCUAAGAAUUUAGAGAAUAGAAUUAGAUAACAAUGAACUUAAACUUCAUUCUCAAUGAUUUUUCUCAAAGAGCAUAUAUUCAUUCAACAGGUAUAGACAGGCACUACCAUCAGAAAACAGCCUGAAUCGUACCUAAAAAACCACACAUAUUCCUACAGCUUGAUGAUCAAUCAACUAAGUGGGUCAUGAUACUGUGAGCAUUCUAAAAACUUGUCCCUCUGAAGCUAAGAGUGAAUUUUCUUUUAAACUAGUUUCAAAGGUGCCCUCCUGACACACGAUAGAAUCAGGUCCACAACUCAACUCUUCUUUCUUAGACAUUUUAUAUCGGAAAGGAUGCUUAGCCAUCCACCCAUUUUGAUGCACUAUAGAUAGUAAAAGAGCGCAUGCCAAGUUCAUGUGACACCACAUAAAAGUAAUGCGGUCCAAUUAUAUUUACUACAAUGGAUCAUACAGUAAAACAUGUUAUACGCUUGUGAUAAGUGAAUAAAAUUGCUGACGAAGAGCAUAUUUACCACUUCCUGUCAGUAAAUUUUUAUCAUCAUUUGGAAUUUUCAUUUAUGUUCGGGAUAGUCCAAACAAAAAUAAAUGUUAAAAGAUGGAUUCAAGUGGUACAAUGAUUUAUCUGAAAUAAGCCGUCAAAAUUCCAAUUAUGUAGAAUAAUCAUUCUUUUUUUCUUUUCCAUACCUCAAUUUGUCUUCGUGUUUUUGCAACAUCAAGAGGACAUGUAGCACCAGCAGCAAGGCUUCCGGCAACAAAACCAGCAGAAAAGUUUGCCCCAAGGACACUCACAACAUUAGCAUCAUCUUGCAUCAAACCAAGAAGCCUCCUCCUUACCUACCCAAGUGUCAUUUUCAAAUUUAGCACCUCGUAUCAUAGCAAAUGAGUUGUUAUAAGAACCAGUAUCAGUAAAGAGUCAGAAGAAACCAAGAAAACAGAAUCUCACCGGCUCAAGUGUUGACCAGCAGAUUGCGGAAAAAGGAACAUCACGUGCAAUCUGAGCACCAAGGCCAGUCCACAACACACGGUAGCUUUGUACUGUAAGAGUUUAUAAUACAUUGAGAAGAACAAGACUACAAAAGCUUGUAACUGAUAGAAUAAGCAGAAGGAUUAGUUAUCAUUGAGAAAGAAAUAGGAUGAACUUGUAUAAGUGCUAGUCCAAAGCUUUGAAAAUAAAUUUACAAAUUCAUAAAAACUUUCUAAGGGUGUUACAAAGUAAUCCAACUCUCCAACAUUUUUUUUUUGCUCAACAAAAAUGAAUAUCGAUUGCAGAAACAGAAGCAGCGCAUUCUCUGAAGAAGUCAGACACAUACAACAAAUGAAGGAUAAUUAAUUCUUAGGGAAAAUUCAAAAAGCAAAAUAUGACUGACACAGCUUACAUGGAUGAAAGUUAACACCUUAAAAAUAGACAUGCAGCUCAAACAUCAUGAAAUAGGCAUGAAUCCCUCCUGAACAAUCUGAAGAAGCACAAUUCUACUUACAGCUCUGGUUAUUAGGAGUGCUCUUGACGUUGGAGGUAAGCUCAAUUAAAGUCUUCCAAAUUCCUGGAGGCUUCUUGGUAAUGUGGGUAUCCUUGAAUGCCUGAACUGACAAAAGGAAAACAUGGAGACACUUCUUGCAAAGUAGGGAAGUAACAACUAAGAAAACAGGAAACUUAAGAAUAUUGAGCCUGUAUAUAGCAGUCCAAAGCCCUACAAUCCAAUUCUAGGUAUAUCUCUUCGUUGUACACUCAAUACCAUUCAAUCCUCCAAUUACAGAAAACACUCUCCAGAUUAAACAAAAGAAAACCAAAUAUUAGCUAAUAUGACUAAUCAUACCUGCAUCCGCGUUUUAGCAAGUUCGAUAGGAUAACAACUUAUGCAAGCCAAUGACCGUGCUAAUGAACCUGCUACUAACGGUGCAUAUAAUGUAAGGCUUGGAGCAUUCUGCAAAGUGAAUUCCUCUAACUGAUUGCGGAAAAUAUCAUAGCAAGGAAGAUAGAUCCCAACCUGUUGAAAACAUUGAUGCAGUCACGUUUAUUAGAAACAAAACUGCAAAGAUGUUCAUGCUGAACCCAAAAAAAAAAGGGUAUACAAGCAUCUAAACUGAGCUGCAAACCACUUACUGUUGGUACAGCCAACGCUAAUCCUGCAUUUGUUCCUCUCCAUAGCCUGGCAAUUCCUUCCUGCAAGAGAAAUCUACAUUAGAUCUAAAGGAUUAUAGAACAGAAAUGACAAACAAGAGGACGAGUACUUUUCUGGAACAUGAAGCUAUAUCAUGUCCUCAUAGAUGCUCUGCACCAACCCGAACCUCUCAGUUCUACCAAUUAACCAUUGUAGACAGAUUCAAUCAUCACAUACAGCCAUCUCUCCAGACAUCAAACAAAGGGAAAACUAACCUGUCGGAUUAUUUUAUAAAACACAUCCAAGGUCCCUUUAUAGUGGAAGCAAUCAGGUGGGCAUAUUGAUACCGUACCAUGUACACCAGCACGAGUGCAUGAAGGAGAACAUCUUAAAUCUGCAAACAUCUGAAGAAACAAAUCUGAGCAAACUAAGACAAGCGAAAAGAACAGAAUUGACAAGACAAAACCAAAAAGAAAGCUAGGAAAGCAAAGAAAUUUCAAUCAAACAUGUUAAACCAGUUACUAGUAUUAAGUCAGGAAUCCAUCAAUUUAAAUAAAGAUUAUGCCAAACAGCAAGAUGACCUGUAAUGACAUACAUGCUUAUACUUUCUGUGGACUCGAGUACAAAAAGCAAAAGGAAAAAUAAAUUCCAGUUACAUGGUGACUUGGAAAGGAGGAAACAACAAAUUUGAGAAAUAAGGAAAAAGAAAGCAGUUAAUUCUUUUUUAUUUUUAUAAUGAUAAAGUUCCUUAUAAGUACAAUCUCCCCUCUCCAAAACACUCACAUAAAAAUUAAAUAAUAAAAAAAAAACUCUUGUGAACAAAAAGUUAAUCCAGAAAUCUACAAUUAUUUCUCUGAAGUUCAGAUUACUAAGGAAUAAAAGGCCAACACAAGGCAUAACCAAGAGAGGGGUACAAAAGUCACCAUGUUUGGUCCAAACACUGCCAUGCGACUUGUAAGGUUACUUAGUGGAUGUGAGUAUGGAACCCCGGCCGCCUGUGCUUGCAAUCUUGUCUGAAAAUAUGAUUGAACAACAGUGAGUAAACAAAAUGCAUGAAAACAUAAACAAACAAGCACUCAAAGAUAAGGAAAAAUUACUCAACUACUACACAUUAUACUUUCAACCACACAUCCUAAAUAUAUAUAAAAAGGCAAAAAAGUUAGAAUGCAACGGAUUUACCAAAAUCUAUAACAUAAAAUGAAGACAAAAUGUAAAAUUACACUAUUCAACAUGACCGCCUCAUCAAACAGAAUUCAUUUCCUGUAGCCUCAAAGCUACAUUGACUUAAACACUAAGCAAAAAGUCAAUUCUACUAAAGAACUGUAAAAAAAUAAUAAUAAUAAAUAAAUAAAUAAAUAAAUCCCACAAUCAUAGAUUACAGCGUUUGCUGAUUAUAGCACAAAUUACAGAAAUAUAAAUUAGAUAACACCCCGUGACUGGGUUCUCCGUGACCAAAUGACUUAUGCAGCUAUUAAAAGAGUAUAACAUGCAAAGAACUGGUACCUUGGCAACAUCAAGAGGGUUGACAAGAAUAGCCGAGAAAACAGCAGCUCCUGCAGCAGAGAAUGCUCUCUCAAAGAAGUCCAAUUUGCCAUCAGAGAUAGUCGUGGAAUGUUGCAGUUGAUGUUCCUGAGGCUGAAAUGCUUCGAUGUCAACUAUGCUUGAGGACUGCGCUGCAGUAUUCAACCAUAGAUUCUGGCUCUGCUUCAAUUCGUCUACCAUCUCCUAUCUCUCCCUUCCCCUCUCCCUCCUAUAUCUCUAACCAAAUAAUCUUUAAUCCUCAAGUCAAAGAUUGAUCAACCUGAAAUAACAAAAAUCUAAACUUUUUUAUUUCUCAGCUGAACAAAUUAGACUAUAAUAUAAGGACAACAAUGCCUAAUUUUGAACAAUCCCGCCUCCCAAUCAAACCCUCUGUAUAAAAGAGGCGAUCUUCUGGUCCUAGAAAUAUUGCUUGAUUUUGGCCAAAAAAAAAAAAAAACUAAAAAUUUGGCGAGCCCUUCUGGAAAGACAAUCGUGCAGCUGACUAAUACAAUAUGCUCUACAUCAUCGAGUUUCGAGUUCUAAACCAAAAAAUAAAACUAAAAUGCAACAAAAUGAUUUAAAGCUUAACCCAUUUAUAAUUCAUUCAAAGAGUUGUUAAUAUGUCACGGGCUGUUUAUAAUUCAUCAUUUUGUAAACUGAAUCAUGAACAAUCUUUUAAAAAGAAAUUACACCUUUAUUCUGAAGCAAAAAGAUGCAGUAACAUGCCCUAAAAAAAGGCAGGGAUUUACCACCCAAAAAAAAAAAAAAGAAUAGACAUAAACGAAAAAAGAAAAAAAAAAGAUGUGAAACCCUCCGACCCUGACUAUGAUGAAGUGCUAGUGUGAAGGUACGACGAACACCUUACGUACUAAAGCGAAGUGGAAGGACUUCCAACUUCCAAGUUGCUUGGAGAAGAGGAUACAGCGAGAGACAAGUCUUUUUCCGCCCACGAGAGCGAGAGAAAACUGCUACAGCCUCUACAGAAUCCAGAGAGAGACCGAGAGCGGGGCAAAUACCUAUCUCAACUUAGGGCUGCGUUUGGGCCACCUGUAUUUUUCUAGCCUAUAAAUCGACUUUACAUUUCUCCAGAGCCACGUUGUAUGGUAUGGUGUAGGCGAAUUAUAAACCACGCCUUCCUGGUCAAGCACUUCGGACUCCGGAGGCAGGAGUAGAGAUACUUUUUUUUUUAAUUAGAUUUAAUUAAGAGUAUAAACGCUGUGUCAACUUGAAAAAAAAAAAAAAAAAAUCUCUCAUCUUGUGAGGAAAAGAUAAUUUAAUAUUAAAGAGAACUUUCAGGAACUUUUAAGAAUUUUUAUCAGUUAAUCCAUAAUACAGUCUUAUGUUACUUUGUAUAAAAUUUCUCACGUUUUCACUUGGCUUAGUUUUGGUCCUAAAAUACAUCUAUUUUCCACUUUCCAUAUGAAUGCAAUGAUGUCACACCAUAUCCAUUAAGAGAUUAUACGAAAUGCCAACAAGUUUUGCAAAAUAUCUUCUCAUGAUUUAUAUAUAGAGUAAACUUUAUAUACAUCAACUGUGCAUAUAUUAUCAUCAUUUGAUUUAUGACAUGUGUACAAAAAUUGAAUUUCAAAUUUAAAUUUUACAUAGUUGUCAUUCAUCAAACGCUGAUAGUGUAUACACUGUCAGUAUAAAAAAAUUAAUCAUAUAUAUAUAUAUAUAUAUAUAUAUAUAUCAGCGUACCAAAUCUUAUUUGAAAAGAAAAUUUGAAAAUGCACAAAGAAAUUAAAUCACUUUAUCUUGGAAACUUACAUACAACAAGCUACACAAAGAGAAUGAUAGGUUAGUUAUAUCAAAACCAUCGAAAAAGCUAAUAUUUAAAGUGUAGGGAUUGAAAGUAAUAAGGCUCCCAAAACAUUGAAAUAACUAAUUUAACUUUCAAAAAAUACUUGAAAUUGCAAUAGGCCGAAUGGUCAGGCUUAACACCAUCUAUGACUUAAAUCGUAUGAUCAGAAAGGUUUGGUACUUUUCUACAGUAUUUUUUAAGCAUUGAAAUUUAGAUUUUUAAGUCUGUCUAGAAUUAUGUCAUCGUUUACCUUAUUAGUUUGUCAUUAGUUAAUUUAUAGGAUCAACUUAAAUGUUUAGAUUAACUAGAGUUUUGGAGCAAAAGGGGUAGAAAUUAUUGGAGGGAAAAUCAGUGGUAAAAGUGUUUUUGCCCUUUCUUUGUUCAGAGACUAUAAUACUUUUAAUAUUUGUUCGUGCGUUUCGCAAGAUAAUGCUUCCCGUCAAAUUUAACUGCUAGAUUUGACAGAAGAGUCACGAAUAUUUUAUUUUAUUAGAUUGAGAGUCAAAACUUUAUUGUUAAUUGUUAGAGGUCUAAAACUUUACCUGAUAAAGAGUUGGAGGGUCAUUGAGACUAUUUUCCCUUUAAUUUUUUAUUUGAUGUAACAACAUGAAAAACUAAUUUUUAAUAAUAGAAAAAUAACCAUGAAAAAGAUUAAGGAUAACUAUAUAUUAAACUUCGUAAGAAUAGAAGAUUGAGUAAAAACGGAAUCCAUAAAUUUCAUUCCCUAACGAGUACUCAUAUUUACAUGAAAGUAAAGUAAUAAGCUGUUGCAUUUAACUUGUAUUACACAUGGUAGUUGUCUGUUGUAGCAGCAGCAGCAGCAGCAGUAGUAGUAGUAGUAGUAGUAGUAGUAGUAGCUUUCCUUGCAUUGUCUUUGUUAUCUUACAGAUAGGUUGAGAACUGCAAAAUUGCUAGAUAUGUUAUUAGAUUAAAAUCUCAGUUUUAAUUUGUUCAAAUCAUUAUCUGCCUUCUCCCAGAACAAAACCUUCAAUUUCGCAAAAAGAUAUUAUGAAUUAGACAAUGAACAAAGAAACUUGACUAUUGCAACUUCCUGCAGACUUUAAGCAAACAUAAGAGAAAUAUCCCCAGCUUAAAAAUGAGAAGCAUAAGAUUAUCCAGAUAGAAAAAAAAUGUAUUUUAACAGGAAGAAAUAAUACAUAAAAGUGCUUGUGCUUAACAAUAUAUGACAUUGGAUAGUACUAUUUAAUUCUUGUACACAAUAAAAUGAUACUAAGAAUAGAAUCAAAUCAUACGGGUGAAAAUCAAGACUCACAAGCUACUACUACCAACAAACAAAUAAUAGUACAAUUUAAAAAGAAAUAAUCAUCAAAUACGACAAAGAAAGUUUGGAAUUCAUUGUUCAACACUAAAGAAGCUAGAAUUUGAAACCUUAUAUAAAACGUGUUUAGCACCAACAUAAAGCAUGAGUCUUCAUAUUUUAUCAUUUUCAGGAAACUCUUUUCCUGGACAAAUAUUACAUAAAAAAUGCAUUUAUGAAGUCAUAAAGGCAGAAGAAUAAACUAUAUUGUUGUUUAAAUGUCUAUAGGAACUUUCAUCUCCAAACAGAAAAUUAAGAAAAAUAACUGAACAGAAAGAUAAUUAUGAGAAAAUUGUGUGCAUGACAAUGAUUUAACAAUCUAAACAGACAAUCUAAAGUAAUAGGAGCUCCACCAAGUUUCCAAAAGUUAGGAGAAUUUCAAUUGUACUUAAAGGUCUACGGGACAACAUGAUCCCAACGUUUAGAAUUUGAUCAUCAGUGCAAAAAUUGCAACUAAGGGGGAGAGGACUUUAGCCAACUACUUGUUUGACUAUUGGAGAUAGAUUUACUUGGAAUUUCAAUUCUUAUUGGUAGUUAUUUUUUAUUGGUUUCAACCUUCCAAUCAUCCAUAUUCAAGUCAAGUACUUUGAUGAAUAGCUUAAGCAAACAUACAAACGAAUACAUGAAAGAAUAAACUUCGAUGCAAACUCAAAUAAUUAGGACAAAGUAUUAACUACCAAUUCAAAAUGACUCGGAAUCUAACUAUCACCAAAAUCAAUUGCAUAAAUGAAUCACCUUAUUACCAAAGCAAACAAUUAGAUAAGAAAUCAUACCAUUCAAACAAUUCAAUUGCAGUAGAAAAAUCAAUUAUAGUAUAAACCACACCAUAAUGCAUCAAUUGCAGUAGUUUUUUUGGCUUACCUUGUUCAAAUACUCCAUGCAAAAACUUUUUUCUCAUAGUUGUUCCAAACAUAUUCCAACAAAAUCACACUGUUUAAAUUGUACAUAGCAACCAAAUUUGUGGGAAGCAAUAAUAUUAACAUUAAAUUACGCUAACAGAGUAUCUAAUUUCAAAAUAGAAGCUUUAGCUCACAAUAAAAACUAUGAUUUUACAAAGCAAAUCAUACAAUAAAAAAAAUAAUAAUAACUCACCUCAAACUAAACCACCAAAAAUAAUUUCAGCAUAAAAUCAUAUUGAAAUCUAGAGUACAAUGAUAGUACAAAUAAGUAUUUAUUGAAAGAUGAAAGGAACAUAAUGGAAAAAUGUGAAGGAGAGGACAUUUGAAGAAUUGAAUAUGAAACUGAUGCUUGGUCAUAAAUUCCUUAAUAAACGCUUUAAUUGAAAUGAAAAUGGCAUUUGAAUGUCUUCAAGUUAUAAUAGUAAAGCAAUGGUAAUAAUCGAUACUACUUAUAAUUUAACUAACACAAGUCAAUCAAUGCCUCUAUAAGGACAUUUAAGUAAUUACACCAAUAAAGAAACUAUUAUGGAUUAUACCAAUUGUAAAAAAAACAACCACAUAAUCACACAUUCCCAAAAUACCCAAACCUUUGAACAAAUCACAAUAACAUUUCAGUAAAUAUAAAAAUACACAUGCUUUCUUAAGUAGUACCUAACCUUAUAACUACACUCAAAAUAACCUUACAAUCCUAAUAUGCCCAUACUCUUACGAUUGAAAUUCAAAGCCAUUCUUUGAUGUAAAUUCAUUCUUAUACAGGAUACGGAUUUCUCAUAUGAAUUCUUAAAUUACCGUUUAGCACUUUGUAUUAAUUUUCUAAAAUAAAUGGUCUGACUUUAUUACAAUAAAAGUAAAAAAUGAAAAUAAUUGAGGGGAGGCUUCCAAAAUCUAAUAAACUAUCCCUCGUGCAUUUAUUCCAUUGUCAGUAGUAGUUUGUGGUGUGGACAAUGCCAUUGUCUAGAGCUUUCCCUGCCGUAUCAGGCGUGACCAAAAGCGUCUAUGAGGCCGCCCCGUGGCUGACUCCGAACGAGAAGCAUAAACUGAUUUAUCCUUUUUGCAUGGCCGAAAUUUCGGUCCCUUGUUUGCGGAUUAUUAGGUUCAAAUUUUUAAUGGGUCUUAAUCUUUAGGAUCCUAGAAAUAAUUUGAUGUAAUUUAAUUGUAACUUUGUCUGGGUCUCCUCGUGGAGAAAAUAGAGCAGAAAAUUUGGAGUUUUGAAUUUCUCAUUUGAUCCUUUGAUUUAUGUUUAUGUGAUGACUUUUUUUUUUGGUUUGACUUGAAGCUUAUAACACGUUUGAAAUAAUUUGAGAGCUUGAUUGAUAUCGAAAAUCAAGUUUUAAAUUUUGUCGAAAUAACUUUUCAAUGAGUUAGAUCCAAAAAAUCUGCAAAACCCAAUGGAAAGGUGAAGGGAUCCAGAAUUCGGCCAAAAUUCAGUCAGAAAAAAAGUUGAUUAAGAACCAAAAGCGAGCGUUUUAUGUUUAUUAAUGAUUAUAAUAACUCAUUUUAAUUUUGAGAGAUUAAAAUUUUGCAUAUGUAAUGCACGAGGGACAAUUGGUGUAAUUUUCCCUCCUUGUUUUACUGUACAUUUGCUUUUGCUGCAGUUAUCGCUCCGUGCUUUUCCAGUUACCGUCCGACAACAGUGCACCAUGAAAAUUUAGGGACCGACCUGGCCAACUUGUGAAAUUCCAAAGUGCUCUGUAACAGAUUCCCGCCAAUUUGGCGGGCGUCACCGUACGCCAAGCAUGCAUCGCAUGUUGCGCAACCGCCAACUUUUAGGAAAAUUUAAAGUAUUAAUUGCAAGAUGACCCCUUAGACUAUGGGCAUUUGAAGAUUAUGCCCCCUAUCUAUGAAUUACCCCGUUUGUUGAAUAUUUUUCAUUCUCCGAUACAAAAUAAAAUGCUAUUGGCAAAAGAUCGUCAAAGGGUGUGAUUGUCUUAGUAUAUUGGGUAAAUUGUGAUUUCACCCAUCAACUAUAUGUGUGCUAAGCACCUUACACCCAAAAUAUUGAUCUCUUCAUAUCGUUAUCUUGAAUUUUCAAUUUUUCACACUUUAGUCUGAUUACCCGAGCUUAAUCAGUUUAAGGCAUUGGGUAAGAAAUUUUUCCUUCUCAAUGCUUUGGCCUACUACCUAAAAUACACUCAAGAGGCAUGGUUUCUCAAAACCUCCUUCGUCAUCCGAAUUGAAAAAAGAACGAUUGAUCGGACUGAGCAAUUUACGAUAGGAGCUCAGGUCAUUGAACUAGAGCACAAAAACUUGGACGUUCAAGCAGCUAAGUGCUGAAAUUGAUGACUUGGGCUACAAAGUGCUAAGUGCACACAGUUGAGUGGUGCAAAAUACAGUGAUCGUAAGUUUUGGGCACUUGGCUUUGGCAUUUGGAAACUGAAGGUGGCUAAGUUGUAAUUGUUCAAACUGAUUACACAGGUUAGACUAGCGGAUUAAGUGAUAAAUGAAGGACAUGCCUAGCCACCCAACCCAAAAUUUAAAUGAUUAAUUUAUUGUGGGUGAUUUGGGAGUUGUGAGUCUUGAGUUGAGAGAGAGAGAGAGAGAGUGGAAAGAAAGAAGGGAAAAACGUAAGAGGCCCCCCACCGUCAUUGCUCAUCAUCAUAGACUGCGACUGCACCCCAGAAAAAAGAGGAAGAAAAAAAAAGAAAAGAAAAAGAGAAGGCCAGAACCCUAAAGACACUGGAUUUUCUUUCCUCCCUUCCCCAACCCAGAAGCUAGGAAUCGAACGAGGUUUACUGCUAGUAGUGAUAGUAUCUAGGGACAAUUACAGACACGACUACUAGAUAAGUUCUAGGACCGUAAACUGCUGGUUGUAUUUUUUUUUUGGGGUCUUUUUUCAAUGAAAUGGGAGAUGGAAGUGGAAGAGAUCGAAGCGGUGCUAGAGAAAAUCUGGGACUUGCACGACAAGCUCAGCGAUGCCAUUCACUCUAUUUCCCGAGCCCACUUCCUCAGUUCCAUCAGGUCCCACAACCGCAAAUCCAACGACGACGCCGCCUCCUUCCAAUUCCACCACAGAAAGAAAACCACUCCUGAUGCUUCUUCUGCUAACGGAGAGCAUAACUCUGACAAUAAUCGAACCACUGGAUUCGUUUACAUUAAGGAUUAUAAUCUUGGGAUGGGGGUCGAUGCUGAUGACGCCGCGGCGCUUCAGGAAGCCAAAAGCCUAAAUGCUAUCCGCACCGCCCUUGAGAACCUUGAGGACCAGCUCGAGUUUUUCCACGUAGGUCCUAGAUUUUUCAAUCUCCAUUUCUUUUAUUUUUAACUACCAUACGAUGAUUUUGUUUUUUUUUUUUUCAAAACAACUCCUCUUAAUUUGGCCUUUGAGAUAAGAAUCGAAAAGCAAGCUUCUUGCUGUUGUCAUUGCUUACGGUGAAUAGGUUGAUUUAUUCGGAAAGAGCUAGAUUACAAAUAUUCUACAUAACAGGAAAUUUCGUUACUAUCGUGCUAUUGUAAAUUUCCCCUUGAUGAAGCUAUUUUAGGUUAUAAUUACGUAUUAAUCUCUUUGGAAAUCUGGAAUGUAUCGCUGUUUUGUGCUGUGGAUGUUAGCUAAAUCUCAGACUUGGUUGCUCCUUUGAGAUAAGAAGAGGAGUGGGGUUUGGUUUAUUUUCGAACUUGGGCGUUUAGGAUAUUAUUACUUACCUGGCCCUUACUGGGGAGUGAGCAGCUGAGGAGGCGAAUACGCACAAAAAAGAAUACGUGGACUUAAUAAUUGCUACAUUUUGCAGCAAUAUGCUUCCUUGUUUUGCUGCUAGCUUCAUUCGAUCGGUGAGUCAAUUGACUUGUACAGAUAUAGUUGCUGUGUGUGCUAGAGCAUUUUAGUUUCUGCCCAAUGAUGUUUAGAAGAGUGAAUCAUUUGAACUCUUCGCAUGGAACCAGCCUUUCGAAAAGGCCUGUUAUAAAUUUUACCAAUUAUACCAUCUUUUAUGUAUCACAUUGUGAAAAAUCACCUGGGGAUGACCAUCUGAUUCAGUUGGCGUAGUUUAGCUCUCAAGAGUCUGGGUAGAUAACCUAGAAGCUGUAUGCAUUAUUGGUUAAGUGAGGAAAAGCUUUGGUGUUUUGAUUCUUGAGGUUGGAGUCCUAUCUUCAUAUGCUACACCAAUGAUAAUUAAAUUCUACCUUGGUGCUGCGACGUUGAUUGAAAAACAGAAACUGUGCUUUUGGUGCUGUCUGAUUGUAGAAUUCUGUGCUUACCAUGGUUGUGCUUUUAUAGAAAACAAAUUGUUCCUCUGUUUUGGUGAUGGGGUGAUGGGUUGUUUCAAGAUUUUUUAUAAUGCAAAGUAACAGGCUUGCUUUGGAGAGAGACGAGGCUAUUGUUUGUAACAAGAUGUUUUGGUUCUCAGAUUUGUGAAUGCAAAUUGGGUCUCAAAUUCUGGAACUUCGUUGUUAUAGCUGAGAGCUCCAUUAUGCGGAGAAAUCAAGAAUAUGCUUUUAGAAAUUCUUUGGACAGAUGGAUCUUGUGAUACCGGGCCUUCUUAAGAAUCUCUCUGUUCUUCUAUUCCCUAAAACUGUUUGUCGUUUUCUCAUUAUAACGUCUUACAUCCUGGUUGAUUUCCUUGUAGCUUUUAUUCUCACGGUGCUGGAUAUAAUUGUGCCAUUGUUUGUAAGUAAUCAUUACUAUUGGGUAUUAAAAAGAAUUUAGAAUUCCAGUUGGCGAGGGGCAAUUCUUUUCGGUAGACAUGGAAGCAGUUUUAUUUAGUUAAAAAACAUAUUGUCUUGAGAGAGUAUCAUCCUUGCUUCUGAGGAACUUUUGGCUGACCUUCAUGGAUCGUUGCAUGAAAAACUUGUCAUUUUAGAAUGGUUGUGUUGUUGUUCUGUUUUGCAGACCGUACAAGCACACCAACGGGCAGAGAGAGAUGCUGCCCUUGCUCGCUUAGAGCAAAGCCGCGUUGUUCUUGCAAUGAGAUUGGCUGAACACCAGGGCAAGAAGUAUAAAGUCAUUGAGGAGGCACGAGCUCUGGUGGGAGAUGUCUGCAAUGCUAGCUGCUUUGUUUCACCUGAAAAUACACCGGUGGCAUCUCCCACUGGUGAGAAAUUUGCAUCACCGAAAGGGGAUAGGUCAAACGCAUUCGUCAAGGUCUUUCUGUCUGGUUUUAGGUUUGUUAAAAAAUCUCUAAAGCUGGAUCAGGUGGGUGGGAUUCUAGGAAAUGCAGCUCUGGUGGCAAUGAGCAUGCUUGCAUUAAUGCAUCUGCAUCAAGUAGGCCUCAAGGACAAAUACAUUGUGGAGUUCCCACAAAGGCAGGAAGAUCUGUACAACAGAAACAUGACCAGAGUUUCUCGACAAGAGGGUUCCCGUAGUGGUCGUUCAACCCAAUUGGAUGUAUUGUUGGCGAGGGGCUAAAUGAAUGGCGGGGGGUUGGACUUAGUUGAUAAUUGUGAAUCUUUUAGGCGUGCAACACGGAAAUAUAGAUGUUACGGGAGAGUCAGUAGGAUAUAUCUUGCGCUUGGUUUGCUUAGCAGUCCAAAAUGUCGCGGCUCCAGCCUUUUUUAUUUUUUAUUUUUGCCUGCUGAAUUUUGGUCGUUGCGUUCCUUCUAAAUUGUCCAUUGAUUGUAUACGGUAUAGCUUUGCGUUCCUAAAUAUGUCUGUGAUAUAAAUACUAUCCCUGAAGGUUGUAAUGGUUGGACGCUAUAUGUAUUUAUGUUGGCGACUGAGAGUACGCUCCUGGAGACUGUCUUUGUGAUGAUAUUUGCCUCGACUAACCAAUUACUUCUAUUCGGUUCUCGUGGGGCGAGAGGUUAGGGGUUUAAAAUUUUUUUUCCAUCAAAAAGUUGUCAUUUAUGACUUCCCUUAUAUUCAUACGAAUGUCUCUUGCAUUUGAAUGAUUUGACGGCAGUUUAGUUUCUGUCGGAUCUUGAUAGCUCUGUUGGAUCACUCUCUUAGUAUAGGUUAGAGUUCCUGAUGGAUCACCUUUUUAGUAUAGAUUAGAGUAGGAGUAAGUGUAGAUGAUAAUAACAAACAAAAAAAAAAAUUAUAUAUAUAUAUAUAUAUAUAUUUGCUUCGAUUUUGUACAAUCCAGAAACGUGUAUAUGUAUACGGUUGUUGGGGGGCUCAUGCGUGCAUAAGCUGUAUAGUCAGAGAUAUAUAGAAAAGAGGACUAGCUGACGUCACCAGCCUAAGUGAAUGUGAACCCGGAUGCGUGCGGCCAGACUUGUCGCAGUGUCCUAAAUCUGUCCCUGGAAAAGGUCCAAGGCCCAUUGACAGCGCUUUGUGCGGCGAGGCUAGUAGCAGUGUACUAAAUCUGUCCCUGGAAAAGGUCCAAGGCCCAUUAACAGCUCUUUGGGGCAGCUGGGCCGUUGUCUUUUUCUUUGAUAAAUAAAGAUGCUUUAAAAUAAAGUCAAGUCAACAGAGUGCAAAUUAAGGUACAGUCAUUCGUGGUGGGGUGGUAACCCCCUUUACAGUCAUCUGGGCCGUUGUCUUUAAAUGUCACGUGUUAAGCUAUGAAUUGUGAAGCAGCAGUAAUGGGUAAAUUUGCGAUGAAACUUUUCUGAAGCGGAGAUUUUUCUUUUUCUUAAUUGAAUCUCGGCCAUUGAAUCUCAGCUACUGAUUUGUUAAAGCUAAUCUGGCCAUUGAAUAUUGAAAUAGAAAUUUCCAAAUUUGGGUUGCUCUGUUAGUGUUGAUUACUGUAUUAUCUAAUAGCAGCUGCUAAUUGCAGAUGGCCAAUGCAGAAAGAAAAGUGUCGUUGGAAAAUUCCGAGCAGAAGUCUCCUUUUGACUCGCAGAAGGAAUGUUGAAAUAAUCAUAAUAAAAAGCAGGCUUUGUUCAUGGAAAGGGGGCGGGUUACGUUUUCCAUUUUUCCCCGUUGCUGGUUGGGGCAUCAUCUCAUCUGUGAUGUGGACACAGACCGAGACGACGCUCGAUCGACGGCCACACCACACAUUCGCCUUAGAAAUAUAAAAAAAGAAACGAGAAUUUGGGGUGGGGACCAGAAAAAGGCCAGCUGGCUGUCCCUUUCUGAUUUCGCUCCUGCUUUUCUUUUUCCCCGUCUUCUUCGACGAAUUCUAGUCUAAAGUCGAACGAUGCGAUGCGAGAUGUUGGUGCGUUUUCUUCUUCUCCGAGCGCAGUAAUUAUUAAUACUUGUAUUCUAAUACAGUCAAAUCAAUAAGAAGCAAAUUUGCCAUGAACUUUCUCUUUCUUUUUUAAUAAUACUUCAGUCAAAUCAAUAAGAAGCUUAUUCUUUGCUGGAAAGAACUUACAGCACGGUGGCAAGUUUCUGCGUCAAAAUAUUACGAAAUGCUUUGCACGACGACACACGGCCAAGUUGUGAUGCCGUCUUAAAUCAAGCUUUCCAGUGGAAACACGACGGUCCAUCUUCCCACUUCUUUUUUUUUUUUUUAGGAGAAUCAUCAUGCUACAACAGAGUGGUGUGUGUGAUGUUGCAAAAUGUUCUAGUCAAGAAGUCAACAGGUAUGCAGCGCCACACCAAGUAAAAAUUAAAAUAAAACCAGUAAAAAUAGUUGCGGAUAUUUUCAAUGUGAAAUGCCAGUUGUUAGUUACCCCUGGAGGCACCCUUUCCUUCAUCUUUUUUUUUUCUUCUCUUUGGGUAUAAAUCUCAAGUAUUCACAUCAGCUUCAUGACCUGUUCGAAUCGAAUCGAUCUGAUCUCCUGCAACAAAAAUUCUCCCAACGUUAUCCUUCUUAUUUUCACGAGCUUCCACUCGAAUUCGAAACCUCGCGGUGAUGAAGGGGACGCAAGCCCUUUCCCUUGUUGAUCUUUCCGUCAUGUUUCAAACCGAUGGAUGAGGCGAAGCACGAUAGGAGAUGGAUGGGUCCAGUCCACUACCAUGACUAGGUGGCGCCUCGCACCUGAUGGGCCAUACAUACUAAGAAGGCUUUCGACGUUUUAACCACUCAGCCGAAGAUGACAGCAAAAUCUCACCGGUGGUGGUCAUCCUCCACGUAUGAAUUGUAGACAGGCAUCUGCAUUUGUCGACCCGUGAAUCUCAAAACCACUAAAAUCAUCAUUCAUACCUCUCUCUUCACACGUAGUAAAUACCAAGACAAGACAAACACAGCAGAUUUAAGCACUGGGACAAUAACCUGUAAGAACACAACACGAUAAAGUUCCUUAAUAAAUUUAAAGUAAUUGUAUUUUUAAGCGAAAAAUAAAAUUAAUUUAUUUUAAUUAUUUCUAAAUUGCACACGCGCCUUUAAACGCUAAUUUCUAUCAAUCAUCAUUUAGGCGUCAAAUGUUGUUGCAAGGGCAAAAAUUUCAGGUGGAAUAAUCUAUAAUUUGCACUGACCGUGCCUUCGGCGGGAGAGAAAGAGGCGACAGCCGGCUGGAAAAAGGCCAAAAACCGCAAACAAUAAAUAUCGGUCAAAUUUGGAAUAGUGACGAUCGAGGCAGCGAGGAACGCUAAUAGUAGUAAUGGAGGGGCGGAAACUGGAAAGUGUGGUUGGCGUCGGUCGUUUACGUCUGAAAUGGUCGGCCAUUAAUGCAAUGAUGGUCGGUCGUUUACGUCUGAUUUUGCCGAAAGAAACAUCAUUGCCGUUAGUUUAGCAUGAUUUGAUGGCGUUGUAGGUUAAAACUAAUUCUUGAGUCAAAAAUGAUAUAUGUACUACUCUUCGCCAAGGACCUUUUUCGUCUCAUCUUGGAUUUUCUUUCUUUUUUUUUUUUGGCGGUGUAAAUCCAAGAAAUAUUAAAUUAAACUUAAUUCAAAGAUACAACAGUUCUGGGGAAACCGUAUAUUCCUGUAUUCUUUUUUUUUUUUUUAACGGCAACAAUUAUAUUUCUGUAAGCUAUUGUAUCUUAAUAUAAGGGGAGCCGGGAGGGGAGUCUAGAGAGACUGUGUAUAAGGAAGGGUUUAGUAGGUAUAAGAACCUAUUAGACUAAAGAGAUAUUAUGACAUCUCUUUUAAAUUUUUUUCAUUACAAGUAAGAUUCGAACUCCUAACCUAGGAUCCAAAGAGGGACCUUAGUCCUUUUUUUGUGUUCAUUACAAGUAAGACUCGAACUCCUAACCUACGAUCCAAAGAGGGACCUUAGUCCUUUUUUGGUGGCCACAGAAUCAAAGCUCAUUGGCUUGCAUCCCUGCAGUCUUGUUCCCAAAUUGGGCGAGGACAAUUAGCAAAAGUACAAAUGCGAGCUACACGGCAGGAGACUGAGGCUCCAUGUUUUGGUAGCGAAUCAGCACACUCACUUGCUUCCCGAAAGGCACGUUUGACAGAAAUUCCUUGGAACCUAGAGAGAAGGAUCCUGAAAUCGGAUGGAAAAGCAUCGAAGGAACUUUCAGAUUGAAUAACGUGUUAGAGUUCUUAUCUUGGAUGAUGUACUGAUAUUUCCAUUUUGCUCUUAUAUUUAGAACAAAAAAAAAAAAAAAAGGAAGCAACAGGCAUGUUUAUGUUGGGACUAUAUCAAGUGGAACGGAUGAGUGUGAUAAGAUAAAGAGUAAGACAUUGUGUAGCAAAAAGGUCUAAAAAAAAAUUAGGUUAGAAUCCGAAAUGGUUGUGUUGAAAUGCUUUUUUUUUUGUUAAUUAUACUUGUGUAUUAAUUAAAUAUUUGUGAUCUUGAUGUCAGUAAACAUUUAUUAUGCUAAGAAAUUCUCGCUCUAGCGACUAAUAUUGAGGUUUCAAGAAUUAAAGGUUCUGAAUUCGAAUUCCCUUACUCUUAUGUGUAAAAUUUUUUGCAUAUGAUAGGAAAGAUUUACCCUUUUUCUUUAAACAGUUGAUUAAGUUUUUGAUAUAUGAGCCCCCCCCCCCCCCCUUUUUUUUUUGUCAGAUUUAGAAACUUAAACGGGUCUUCGAGUUGAUACCUGUAUCACGAUAAAUGCUUCGAGCAAGAUAGGGGGACUCGAUCCUCUCCAAGGAAAAAGAAGAAGAAGAAGAAUCAAUAAAUAAGAGGAUGGAAUAAAUUGAAAUAAAUGAGCAGCAUAUGUGUGUGUACUUGCAUGUUAACUACCAAGAAGAAGCAGAAUCUAUGAGAAAUGGACGUAAGAUUGUGGCAUGGGGACCUCUAGGCCUUUGGCGGUUGGGGGAGGAUGAUGUGUUGAAGUGCAAGUGGGGACCGAAACCAAAUAGAUGACUGGGAUUGAAUUGUCAUUGUUGUUCAUUUAAUUGCAUUACGAUCGAACACACUUCAUGAGGGGGUGCUCCUGUUUCCUUUAAUUUUUUUUUUUUUUUUUAGCAGACUUUGUAAAGUCGGCUCUGAGCAUCACAAUUCAUAUCAAGUGUUCAUGUUCAACGGUGGUUCAGAUCUCUCUUUUCUACGUCCUAUUUCUUUCAACACCAAGACCAAUAUAUCAAUCUACACGGCCAACUCCUGUGGCCUUCCUUUCAUCCACAUGAUUUCACUCCCAGGGGGAUGGAGGAUCUGCCAAGAAGUGUGUUCAUCUUCUUGCUGCAUAAAUGCUCUCUACAAUACCUUAAUUAUCCCUACGCUGCAAAGUUUUGCACCUGCUUAUCUUUUCCAUUGAGCUGUAAAAUAGGGAGUAAAAAUUCUGUCAAGGAUUUUCUUCUGCUGCCAAUGCACCGAGUCGUUCAAGCAGUACAAGGCCUGCAGAGCAUAAAAAACUGUUUUAAAGAAAUUUGAGUUAAACAUAUGAAAAAUUAAAAACGAGUUACAAUGGCGCAGAAAAUCCACUUCCCAAUUCAUUGAUAUGCAACCAACUUCCUUUAGAGGAGUUGACCACCACCUUUAGCGUGGGAUGGGAGGAGGUCAAUGGUUCAAACUUUGCCUCCCAUCAAAAAGUUAUCACUUAAUGUGACUUUACUUAGAUCUACGUGGGUGCUUUGUAUACUCUUAUGGUCCGAUGGUGGUUUAGUUUCCAUACAGCCUGCGUAGGCAGGGCAUGUUACCAUCAGUUAUUCACAUGAUUAAGGAAGAGAUACCGAGUUUAGAUGGGACCAAAAAGUUGCUCUAAUUACUACUUGUAACUAGCAAGCGUCCUAGGAAAAGUGUUGUUGUUGUCCUCCUCUUGAGCUCUCGUAAUUCAAGAUUUCUUCUCUGCCAAAUUAAAGUAGUGCGCUGCUGUGAUUAUUAUAGCCAGCUUGCAUAACCUAUACCGGGCAAAUUAAUUAAGGGUAAAACAUAGUACUACUAGUAUACAGAUACUCUUGGAGACCUUGCCUGUAUCGUUCAUACUUGUAAUUUUACCGGGCAAUGGGUAAAAAUUAUGAAAGCCAGCUCACGUGAAAGAAGAUCAGAAGGACAUGAUGACGACAAUUAACCAUAUACGGCAGGGCAAACAGGCUUUAGAAACUAGCUAAUAGUAUAAUCAGAAAAUCAGCACAAUCAUACCGUGAUGAUUUUGCACAGUGGCGGUGUCUUGGUAGCAGCCCAACAGCUGGGGCACUUCCCUGUGUGAGGAUUGGUCCUCUUGUUACGUCCAUGAUUUCCCCUUUGCCUAAUCAGUUUUAAUUGUGAGAUGAUGGCCCAGGCCAGGCCAUGGCCUGCUCCGACACUGUAAUCUUUAACCUUUUCCGGCUCUAUGACCCGUAAGAUGCCGACGUCUGUUAACUUGCCCACCAUUCGCAAGGACGCAUAUAGACAGAUAAUGGUCAGAAUUUUUUUGGAAAAAAAAUUACUACAAAGAUGACACUAGGAUUUCAGUUUACGGCUACUAUCUACUGAGAAGUUUGCAAAGCUGCUGCACAAAUGGUUUUCGUGUCAGGGGGUGCCUGCAAAGCAUGUCCCCUGACCGAUACGGUGGAGGAUAUUGACGUUUAAGAGAAAUCUUCGGGCAAGAUGGAUAUUUGAUUUUCGAGGAUUUGUCUUUUGUUGUAAUAAAAUAAUAAGGGUGCGGUGGUGCAUCAACAGGUUUUCUGAGAUGGGGAUUGGGAUGUUCUCGUCUUCUUCCACGGUGGGAUUUCCGUCUUGUUACCAAACUAUCUAGCCACGAUCGAUGAUCCGUCAAGUGACUUGAAUCUUGUCCCUCUCAAUCUUUUCUUUUUUUCUCCUCAAAAAUCAAUACAAACAUCAAAAAUCUUAAGCCUCCAUUUCAUUUCCCUCCCAUUCCCUCGAAGCAAACAGUGACUUAAUGUCAGAGUCAUACUACUAAUUUGACCAACUGCCUAUUUCCAGCCAAUUUCAAAGGCAGAUCUAACCAAAAAGCUAGAGGACCUCAAAUCAUAAUUAUUUUUUCCAGACAAGAUCUUAAUUAAGAUUAUUCUACACCAAAUACAUUUACCCAAAAAUAUAUCAAAUAAAUUUUUUUUUUUUUGAAUCCUACCCUUCUUGCUUACUCUACUUAUCACACACCACCCCUACCUCACUCCUCAUCUCCCUUCCUUUCCCACCAUCGCUCCUCUUCUUUUCUCUUCUAUCUUUUUCCUAUCCCUACCUUUUUCUCUUGUCCCUUUCCCCUCCCUCCUCAUUCUCUCUCCAUUGAUCAAAUCAAAACUUGAUACCCACCAUCACCACCUUAUCCUUCCUCUUCCAUCUCCUUUUUUUCCCCUUCAUCCCUCAUUUCUCUUUCUUUCUUCUUUCCCCUCCCUCCUUUCCCUUUCCCCUCCCUACUAGAAACCCCGUCUCCCUCCUUUUUCCCUUUUUUGGUCAUGACCAAAAGGAACAAGUGAUGAAUUUUGCAACCCAAAAUGUCAUCGUAUAAAGGGGAAAAAAUGGAAGUACAAUCACUCAAUCUUGCAACAGGUGAAAUAAUCGAAUAAAAUUAAACCAAAAAAAAGGUAAACGAAUCUCUCAACCAAUUGUCCAACCUUCAAAAAAUUAAUCUUUGACUCUUUGUUUCCAGUGCAACCUUUAGUAGAAGCGGUACUUGUGGUCCUUUUGAGGCCUCAGGAAUAAUGCGAAUAUCUAGCGUAACAAAAACCGGAGGAGGAGCACCAACAUGGAACGAAGAAAAAUAUCAGAUGUCAGUCCGAGGGGCUCUCCGCAUAAUAAUAAUAAUAAUAAUAAUAAUAGGAAAAUGUGAUUACGGAAAACGACAUAAUUUUUCGACGAAAAACAGCAAUCCAAACAAGACUGAGCGUGGCAAAAACUACGAAUCCCUGCAAAAUCUUGCCAGAUCCCUACACUCAACGUUCUAUCCAGCAGUGAAAAGGAGAUGAAGGGCACAAGGAGAUGAUGAGGCGAUUUAGCUUAUCACUAUUUCCAAUUCUGAAUAAAUUGGCAGAGAUAUACCAAAGAGGACUGAAAUUGCAGGUUUUAUAAUUCGAUCGAACUACAGACAGAAAAUUAUUCUACCCCAACGGGUAUCAACUUUUUCCAAGGCUUUUGUGGCGUUUACAUACUGCUCGGUACUCGCGCGCACAUAAAAGAAGUAGAUCAAAAUUCACAAUUUAUCAGAUGAAUCGUCUCCAACCAGCUGUAAUGAAAAUCCCUCUUGGUCCCAUUAACUAGGAAGACGACGGGAGUUAGAGAUUCGCUGAAUAAGUUGAGGAGUUUGAAAGGGCACAAAAAAGCAGAUCGUCAUACAAAAGAAUUGCAAGAAUUCUGAAGAUUUGUCUCAACUUAUAUUUGAGCAACUACGACGUAUGUAUGACUUGUGUAUUUUUCUGAAUCGUUAUGCUCAUUUGGUCCCAAAUCUAGACCGAUAAUAGCACGCCCCCGGUACUCUUUCUUCAGAGAUCCUGAGAAGGAAGCCACUUCCGGAAGUUGAGACAGCGCUAGAAAGAACGCAAGAAGUAUCCUACCGCUAGGCUGUCCAGUUGCUUGCCAACCAAUUGAUUUGCACCGCCAUAAAAUUUUUCCACUCCCAACAUAAUGAUGAUGAUAUAGCAAAAGGUGGCUGUCCGCUCUGAUUUGACAUGGACGUGCAUGUUCAACGAUUUAGCCUCUGCAAUCUUUGCUGCCUAAGGUUACUGAAUCAGCCGUCCGAUCCUACCCAGAGUGGUACAGUAGAGGACAAUCGAAUGUUGGAUGUCCAAAAAUCAUCUGAAAAUUCCAGGGUCAAAUAUUUACAUUUACUUGUAGCUUAAUUGCCUAAUUGACACAAUACCUAUAGGCAGUCGCGGAUUUAAGGUGAGAGCACCACCACUGCCCCCUUAAAUUUCUAUACUAUUCAUAGGAUUUUAAUGUAAUUUUAAGUGUGCUUCCGGAAUUUUGUUAUGAAAAAAAUGAAAGAAUUGCUUGAUCCUCUAAGUUGGUUCGUAAACUAACAUUCUAAAAGAAUAUGUGGGUCACGAAAUUUCAUUUAAAAUAAGUUAAAAUAUUUUUUUUUUCAUUUCAACUUAUUAGUGAAUAUUUUUUUUGCUUAAAAAACUAGAAAAUGAAUAGAUUAAAAUUUUUAGUGUUGCUUUUACCCUGACUGAAAAUUUUUUCUGACUCCGCUGCUUCCUACAGGCAACAAACGGGAGAGAGACAAAGCCUAGUUCUGUCUGACUGUCAGCUACUUCCUCCUUGCUUGUUAUGGUAUAUUAUGUAUGCUUCAGAGCAUUUGCAGCAAGGAACCAGAAUGCAUAAAUUCCAAAGUUUCCAAUCCAUUGUAGACUGUUGAGGCUGUUGAUCUCCUGCAACAAUUUCUAUUCAAACGGGUGCAUUGUUACAGAAAUGAUCUGGACGCAUCACAUUAGAUCAUACCCGUAAAACACAUACAGAAAGAACAAAUGAACAGAAGAAACACGCUACUUUUGGAAACUUUGCUUAGUUUAGACAUCAAAUCUAUCAGUGGUGUCUGACUUCUACCAGAAAAUGGAAAAGUUAAUAGCGGCUGACAAUGACAAAUAAGAGUUGCUUUCCAAUUCUAGCGCAAGGUGAUGCUGAUAGGGGUGACAACUAAUUAAAGGAUUUAUUUCAUUCCUUAGGAGUGUCACUGGCCGAACACUUUGUUACUAAAUCCCACAUGAGUGACUUCAUAACUUCCUUAAUUUUUUUUCCUCGGAGAAAAUUUGAUUUAGCGAACUAACCACUUAUGAACCUGAAAACAAAACAGAAAAGCUAAGGGAUUAAGGUUGGGAGGGAGUUAUAUAUAAUUUGUAGCACCUUUUUCUGAACUACUUCCUUCGUCCUAUUUUGACAGUUCUGAUUUUUUUUUUUAUACAUUUAAGAAAAAAUAGUUAACUUUGUUGGAAAAAUAAAUUUACUUUGUUAUUUUUCUAAAAUACCCUUAAAUUAAAUAAAGUACAACUUUAUAUUAAUUAUUCAUGAAAUUUUGAAUUAAUGAUUUAUGGGAAAUUGAAUUGAUGAUACAGAAAAAAUCAAUCCUCAUUCAUAUAUCAAUAUGUUUUGAAAAAUGUAAAUGUUUUAAAUGAGAUAGGUUAUAUCCAAUAACAAUCUAUAUUAAAUAAGUUAGUUUAUGCUAAUAACAACCUAUACUGAAUAAGGGUAUUUCAAAAAAAAUUAAAAUAUAAGUACAUUCUUUAAUUAGACAGUGGACUAUAAUUUGAAAUAGAUAAAAAAAAAAAUAGGACUAUAAAAGUAGGAAGGAGUAAUUAUAUAUAUUUUUUCUUGUAAAAGGUGACUAACUAGUAGAGAUUUAAGUUCAAACCAGGGACGAAUGGUGAGUGCCUGACUAAAUGCAAACAGUUAAUGCCGGCUGUAAAAAUGAUAAAAGCACUAGCUAGCAAUAGCAGCAUCCCUCUUUCAUAUCUUCUCCCUUUUUCACUGCUAACUCAAACGUCCAUCAAACUUUAUUGCUUUGAAUAAUUGCCGCAAUCCGCACAAGCCCUUUUCAGCACAAGUGGGGGACGGCCGUAGUCCUUACACGACGCCAUACUUCUUUCUCCUGCUAAAUCCUGAUUUAGCGUUGCCAAAUCUCUCUCUAGUUUUUACACAACUCAAAAUGGAUUUCACAACUUUGACUUUCACACGGCCAAGGCCAAAAUCCAACGCCAACCCCUCCCCCCAGGGGGGGGUGGGUGGUUGGUGCUCGGUCAAAUGGACAACCGCGAUUUGCGCCUGCCCGUGUGGGCAAAAAGAAUGCCACAAUAAUGUCUCAAACCAUACCAAAUAAGAUCAGAUCUCAAUUGAAUUAACACGUUAAUUAGUAAUUAGAGAUUCCGUCCAUGAAAUUAAACAACGAAAAAUGAGAAAUAAUUCACUAUCAGAUUGAUUUUAUUUAGCCGCAAUAUAUAGUUUUUUACACUCCUGGAAAGACCUAUUAUUACUCAUAAAUAAUACUACAAAAUCUCAACCAACUUCCUAGAUAGUAAAAAAUCUCCACUCUGUUUCUAAUGAAGAUCCCCCCCCCCCCCCAAAAAAAACAACCACUAUACUUUGAAAUUAUUUUGGAAACUAAUAAAUAGAAUUAAGAUUUUUUUUUUGUUAAAAAAAAACACGGUCCGAUGAUCGCCUAUGACAAAAUUUGCCACGAAAGAUGGCAUGCCGGCGAAAAAAAGCUUGAUACUGGUGGGUGUGGGCAAGCAUCUGGUGAUCAUACUGCCAGGAGAGCAUCUGCGCUAGCAAAAUCGUUCAUGUCUUGGAAAUAAUCAUCCACAUUCAGCUCCACUGAACCAAAAUCCUGAAACGAAUCAUUAAACUCUCCGAAUCCAGCGCCCGCUGUUGCCGUGUCAUCAAGGAAACCCGGCAGCAGGUCAUCAUCGAAUGACACGUCCAAUCCCAGGUCAAACGUAUCAUUCGAAAAACUUGGGGGAACGGUGUCGUCAAAGGUUAUCUGCUCCGGAGAUUGGAAAUUGAAGAAAUUGUCUAGGAAAGGAACGUCCAUGGGCAUAUAUUCGUUCGAGUAAUCCGGUAUCAUAUCCCUCGUUUCACCCUGGCACUCCUCAGCUACUUCCGGGACCGGUUCUUGCCACGGCUCACCGUCCGUCUCCUCCUGAACCGUUUGCUCGUCCGUACAAUCAGCAGGAACCGGGCCUUCCACACCUUCGGACCGGCAUUCCGGUUCAGCUUCCUCGCUAGACUGACUGCUUCUGAACCUGAGAACAGAAGUAGGAGAAGACAGAUUGUGGGACUCCUCGCCGGACUCGUAGCAGGAGGUGGACGCCACGUUGACUUGGGGCUUUUCCUUGGCCGGAGGAGUGACGAAGUUGGUUAAAGCGUCCGGACCACGGAGCUUAAUGGCGGCGUUGUCGUAAACCAUGGCAGCCUCCUCGGCAGUGUCGAAAGUGCCCAGCCAGAGCCUGGCACGUGUGGAGGGGUCUCUGAUUUCCGCAGCCCAUUUACCCCAAGGCCUCUGCCUUACGCCGCGGAACUUCCGUACAGCACCUCCCGCAGCGGGGACUGGCGGCUCCUUGGCCUUCAUCGGCCUCUGCUUAGCCUGGAGUGCCUCUGCAGUCUUCUUCUUGGGAUGAUGACGAGGAGCGAGGGCGUUGCUGCUGGCGCUGAUAACAUUAUUGCUGUUUUGUUGGCAAACUGCAGCAGUUUCGAUUUUGAUUUCACUAAUGUACCGCUUCACACGUAGCCUUCCGAAAAGCUCGUCUUCAUCGCUGGAGGAGUCUGUAGCGUCCGGGUCGGUAACGGAUAUCCGAACCGUCCUGGGAACAAUGGAGCUACGCUCAGAGGAUUUUUUGGGCUUAAGGGCGAGUUUUUUGGUGAGGCUUCGGUGCUCGGUGUAUUUUACCGGACAUAAAAAACCGCGAACCACCAUUUUCUUUCUUUUUCCUUUUCUUUUCUCCCCUACCCCCCAGACUUUCGAGUGUUGGAUUCUUACCAGAGUAGUUGCAGUCGCUCUACUAUUCGAAUUGAAGACGACAUAAAAGAGUAAGGGAAAGUCUAUUGGGAGUGUAAAAAAGAAAAAGCCAGAGGAAUAGAGAGCGUGAAGAUAAAGGAAGAUUGCUUUGAAGUGGCCAACACACACAUAUAUAUCACUCUACAACUACAAAGGAAGGAUAAAGAGGGGAGGAACCGUCAAAGAGGAGAACCAAAAACAGAUGAGAGAAUCGAAGACAUGUUGCUGAUGCCACGCCACCAAAAAAAAAAAUCUGACAAAAAGAAUGCCUACGUUAAAAGAUGGGUUUUGAACACACCCAGAAAGCAGCAGCACACGAGAGCUAGCGAGAUACUCCAGAGCUUUUGAGAAAGCGAAUGAACCUAAGAAAGAAGGCUAAAAAGCCAAAGAGAGAAAGAAGAAGAGCAAUUUCUGAGGCUUAAAAACUUGAACAGGGGACUUGAAUAUUUUUAGGCACCCAAACGAGGAAACUGCAGUGCUAUUCUUUCCAUCUAUUUCUGUCGUUGAGGGAAAAAGCAAACGUAUACUCUCUCUCUCUCUCAAUCUUUAGAUUCUCCCGUCCUAAGAAUCUCAGUUACUUUCUUCCUUGAAACUCUUUCCAAGAAAACAAACUCAGAAACUUUCAGUUGAGCAAAGCAAAGCAAAACAGCCAAACUCAAGUGGAAGGACGAGAAGCAGACGAAGAAGAAGAAGAAGAAGAACAGUCCGGAGCGUUCACAAGAGAUAUAGGACAGAGAAAUAUGGAAGAGAGGCAGAGGUAUGUUUCGGUUGGCUGCAAUGGAGACCAGAACACUGAAAUCGCUGUUUUAUAGGAUCCCUCCAGCCGAAAUUGGAAACCCCGAAAUACGCAUCUUUUUCAAUUACUACUACUCCUAUAGUAGUAGUCUUCUCUUCCUUUCUGCCUUUUACCACAUUAUUUUAUGUGUUCUCAUUAGGCAAUAAAAAAGUGACGCAAUCUUUUUUCUUUUUUUUUUUAUCUUUUCUCUCUCUCUCUCUAAAUAAAAAUUUCUGGCUGUCAAUUUAGGAAACUCUAUAUUAAUCUUUAAUGAUUUAAUCGGGCUAGUCGCCGGCGUCGGCGAUUGGUGGCCCAAAGAUUCCGGCCACUGGCCACGGCUCCCAGCGUCAUUUGGCGGUCUGCGAUUUGGACACGUAAUUCAAGUGGCCCCCGUUGAUAGACGUUGGCCCAAUGAGUGAACAUCAAGUGGUGCUGAAUCAGCACACGAUUUCUUUUUCCCCUUCUCGAAUUACGUGUGGCCGGUCACGUGAGGCCCAGGAUGCUCGGCCCACUUAAAAUAUGUCGGUCAAAUUAUAAAGCCAAUUACAGCAACUCACUGCUUUGACCAAUUGUACAGAGACUCACUCAGCGCUACUACGACUACUGCCACACUAGUACUAGUAGUGCUGCCUUACUUCUUGACGAUUUUUUUUUUUUUUUUAACUUUUGUGGUAACUUCUUGAUGAUCAAUCGGCUAAUAAUUUCGGUCCCUCCCUUUGAUGCCCUAAUUACCGCGAUUCGACGCCUAAUGGGCGUUCGGACAAAAGAGGUUGGUCAGGGUAUUGUGGUAAUUGCACAUCUUCGUUUUGGAAAUCUCUUCUGUUUUCUUUCUAUAUAUAUAUAUAUAUAUAUUUUUUUUUUUUACCUUCUAAAUUUUGCUGUACCAGAAUAUUAUUUAUUAGCAGUACAGUAGUAUUUGUUUAUGAGAUUUUAAAAUUUACUUUUUUUACAGCUGCAAAUAACGUGGCGGGCAACCUAGGAUGUGCCGCCAUUUAUAAUUCGGUAAUGUACGGCUCUCUGGGGUUAACCUUUCUCUCGAAUUCCUACUCUCGAGACAGGCAACACCACGCGACCUUAUGUAAUGUGUCUGGGACUCUCUCCCGGGCACUGACAUGGUGAAAUACACGCGAGAGGGACGGGAGUAAUUAAAAUUAUCUUGCGGUGUACGGCCAGACCCAGCUAUCAUUUAUCACAACUUGGCCACCCCUGCUCUGGUGAAAUUGUUGCCCAACAACGAUGAUCUUUUUACCGCACGUAUCGCACAUGAUUACUGUCGAGACACUUUGUGGUUGGUCCGAUUCAGUGCGGUGAUCCUCCUCUGGUGUACUGGUGGACACUCAUUUGUGAAGCGGAAUUAUUCAAGCUUCGUAACUAGCAGCAGUAAUUGCCUAAGUUGGGGGAUUCAUUCACCAAGUCACCCAGCUAUGUUCGGAAUUCUUCAAAUUGGAUGGAAGAUUAUUUGGAUAAAAUUUUUUUUACACCCUUUCUUUCUAAAGUAAUGUGAUAUAUGUAACACAGAAAAAAGAAGUUUGAUGUAAUAUACGUAAAAUAAAAAUAUAAUUAAAUAAUUUAAAAAACAUGUUUAUAUAUUGUUUUAAAAAAUCUCAGGCACUCAUUCCCUGCUUUUGCAUUAAAUGAAAUUUAAAGAGUGACUGAGAUUUUUGGAUAAAAAGAGUUGACCGGUAAUAAUUGUUGAAAAUAUGAAAACAAAGUUUGGAUCUGAGUUCGAGUGUUUGGAAUCCUCAACUGCUACUUGCAUAAUUGCGGAAAAACAGUUGAAAAGGGCGAAUAUUUGAAAUCCUAAAGUUUGUUUUGGCGACCUUGAUGAAAUAGAGUUUUCUUUCUGAGCUUUUUGCUUCCGGUCUUUUUGUCUCUGCUCUGCGUGCAUGCUCUCUCAUUUUUCAAGAAAGAAAAAAAAAAAAAAAAACGUUAUGCUCCUUGCAUCUAUCUCACUUUUAGGUUACGUUGAAACUUCGGAUGAUAUUUUUUGUUCGCAUCAUUACGCAGUCAAUAACUUGUUCUUCAGCCAUCUUUGGCUUUGUCAAAUUCCCCAAAAGGAUUAAUUAAACUGUUUAGAACUUACUUUGCAUUAUGUUCAGUUAUUGAAUUACUAAUGGUUUAAAAUGCGCGCAUGUUGAAAAUUUAUUGACGCGGGACUAAAUCUCAGGGAAGAUAGGAACAUCUAGUCCAUUUGUCAUUGAUGAUUCGGUAUCCGAGUACUGAAAUGCUCGCACAAAGAAUGAUGACAUGGCGAUUUUGUAGGUAGAUAUAUAUAAUACUACUAGUUCCUUUGGAAACUUGAACGUUAAGUUUCUUAAAAACAUCAGAAAUGAUGGGUGUUUGUUUAACUCAGAAUUCGUUCAAGUACGUGCAGUAUUUGAUAAACCAAAAAAAUUGUCCAGCCAGUUUGUAAUCAGCUGUUUUGACCUUAAUCAGAAGUGGCCCUUUUUCCCGGAAGUGUAUGUGUGCUUCAUGUUGCUUUUCAGUUUUUUCACAGAACGAUGCUAAGAGAAAAGGUUCAGCAUCCACAAAUAUGAAGCGGAGCAAAGGAAAGAAUUGUGGCUGGCCAGUCAUGCGUACGUACUUAGCACGUAAUAUCAUUCUGAUAUAUGAAAGCCCUCACAUCACAUGCAAAAGAAAGAAAGAAAGAAAGAAAGAAAAGUUUCACAAUUUUCGGAGUAAGGAAUGCUCGGUGGUCGAUAUUUGUGUUAUUGCAAGAGAAGGAAAAACAGACACGAAUAUGUUCACGUACCAUUCGAGAAAUGGCAGGCCUUAAUUAUGCAGGAUCUAUCUUCUUCGGAUAAACGUAAAAUGCUAAUUAAUUAAUUACUGAACAUCGAUCGAUCGAUCGAUCGAUGGAAUGGGAGGCUUAGGAAGUCAAUGUGCGGAUCCCAUAUAUGUGUUUAGAGAGAAUUGUGUGUAAUUUGGAUUUGCAAAGACAAUCAAUCAAAAAGGGGAGGAGGUCUCUUGAAGUUUGGCCCCCAAAGGAGCUAGCCAGGCGAACCACAUCACAUGACAAUCGACAAACAAGGAAACGAUACAUCGAGUUCGACAAUAUGCGCGCGCGCCUUGGGUCUAAGUUGGAGUGACAUGCGCAAGCAGCAGUAAAUUAAAACAAUUUUUAUUUUUUUUUUAUCUUUCUACUGACGAUCGAUCGACGUCCUCCUUGGCUUCUUUCUCAAACUUGGAUUGGAUGUUGUCUUUUGGUUGUAAGCAUCCGCAAAAACUAGUUUUAUGGAGCGCGCGGGAGGUCAAUGAUCCAAAUGCGCGCAGCAUCAAGCCCAAGAAAAUAUUGCUAACGAUAUUAAUUCUUUAAUCUCCAUCGUCAUUCUCCCCCUUAAUCACCAUUUAGCUUAAUACUAGACCUUCUUGAUUCAAGUGAUAACCAGCGUAAAUGUCUCAAUGGACUGUGCAGUACAGCACUGCCUCCAUGCAUGCACGUACUUACAGACAGCAGACAUUAGGCAUGCACCUUCAUUAAUUUGUAUGUAUAUAUAUAUAUGUUCUUCCUCUCCUGCAGUACUGCAGGUUAAUUUACUCAAUCUCUGCUGUUGUUGGUCGACUACGGGUUUGAUUAGAUCGAUAGAUGUCCGACUCGUACAGGUUAAUCAAGAAAGUAAUACAUGUGGAUGUAUACAAUAUUGAUAGGGUAAUCAAUGAAUUUGAGCGUAAAUAUACAGCUACAGCAACGAGUAUCUAUAGAAGGGGCCAAUGGAUCAGGGAAGGCGUCAGUUAAAAAAUGAUCGGCGGGAAGAAGUCAGUCGGUGCAUGGGACUGUGAACUCAACCAUGCUAAAAUAACGGAAUGGCUCACCAAUGAAGGAAGCCUCGAUUCCUCCUGGUCAUGGAUCAGUUGAUCCCGACACACAUAAAUUCUCGAGAGAGAAAUGCAGCGUAAAGAAUUUUAAAAAGGAGGGCUUCCAGUAGUCACCAACCAAACCAUACCGGUCUGAUGCUUUACCACUACCGUGGACGGUGGUGGCUUUGAUUUCAGCAAAGGGACGACGACACAACAACAGACACGAUACUUUAUUUAGCACGGAUUUCCAUGUUAAGUAAGUGAUCCUUCGAUGAGGAUGGUAAUGAAACAAUUAGUAGUAACGGUGUCAAAGAAAAAAUUCUUAAAAAAAAAAACGAUAAUAUCCAAUCAAUUGAAAAAAUAUUUUGCUAUCUCAAACAAACAAAUGGUGCACAUUUCACAAGCGUCUUUCAGAAGCAACAGAUGUUGGUUUGAUUGUAUUAAAUUUAUCUCCUCGCUCUAUAUAUAUAUAUAUAUAUAUAUAUAUAUAUAUGAAAGAAGCUAGUUUAUUCAAACUGCACAAAUAAAUCUGCAAGUGAAGAUGAAUAAAUCUGCAGAAGAAGCAAAUAGAAACCCAAUAAUUACUAGUACAAGAUACUGCACAUUAGUUAAUUAAGGUACCAAAAAUAUAUUCCACAUUAUCAAAUCAAACACGGGCUAUGAAUUCCCUGCUGGCGCAAGUGUUUCUAAACCUUCAUCUAAGUAAAAGGAUAUUUAGACACUAAUUAUAUACGGUUAUUCUGUUCUUUAAAUCAAACUGGGAUUCACACUUAUGUGAGGACUUUAAUGGCAUCGCUCACACGGGCUAUGAUUUUGAGAGUGACACACAAGUAGAAAAUUUUGAAAUGUUAACAUUCAAACUAUUGACAUUUUAGUAAACCGUGUGCAUAUCUAUAAAAUAGGGAAGCGUCGGAUUGGAUGGUAAAGUCGAAGGUAUUAUAGGUAGGAGAUCCUGAAUUCAACAUUUUCCCCUAAAAAAAAAAAAAAGAAGAAGAAAACAAAAUCAAACUAGGGUUCACACUUAUGUAAGGACUUUAGUGGCAUCCCACAGGUUAUAAUCUUGAGAGUCACGCAGAGGUAGAAAAUUAAGUUUGAAUUUUUAACAUUGAUAUUUUAGUAAACCGUGUGAUCAAUAUCUAUGAAAUAGGGGAGAACUGCCUAAAAUUUAGAAAGAAAAAUAAAGAUAUCAAGCAAGUAUUCUUUUUCUUUUUCUUUUUUUUUUCUGAAGGAGCUAUUGUGUGAGUAAUUUUAUCACAUACAAUUCUCAGUGCAUGUGAGUUUGCUAGUUUCCUUUACGCAACAAACCAAAACGUUAACUCGAAGCAGGCAUGCUUAGUGCGAACAUUCUCCAACUCGAACGAAAUUUGAUUAACAAAUAGUUCCUUUUUUGGUUCUGUAACGUUUGCCAAGACAUGUUUCUUUGGGACUACGGUCAACUGCUAUAUAUAUAUAUAUAUGACUGUAAUUAAUUCCAUAUAGUUUUUAAUCGUUCGGAAAAUCUGAAGAAUAUUUACCACACAAAGAAAAUUCAUUGCAGAAGAGGAAUAACCAGCUUCAUUUUUUUUUCUACACUCUCCAAGUUACAAAUAACCAGCUCAUCGUCUAAUUAACAACAAACAAGCAUAAUUUGUUGGAUGUGAAACAUUAUAAUGGGCGACUAAACAAUAAAAUUAACCAGAGACUAAUUUAAAAAAUCACUAAAAAAAAAAAAAAAAAACUUGUCUCAAAUAAUUAACAUAUUAUUGUUGAACUUUGAAUUGGAAACACUUUAUUUUAAUGGAGCUUGGAGGUUGAUUUGAUAUGUGUAAGCAAGGGAAAAAUGUCAGUAAUUCAAAAAGCUUAAUUCUCAUUUCGAUAUAUUGUAACAAAAAGUUCCUUCGUUAAAGAAAUUAAUCUAAAACUGCUUAACGAAUCUACUAUAAACUUAAAGCAAAUAAAAGAGGGAGUAGGAUUAAAGCUGAGGAGCAUAUCAUCAUCGUCCCUGAACGUGAAGUGCUUUUUUUGUCUGGGCGCUUGACGACAGACCGGGCCGGCUUGAUAGUUGAGGGCCCCAACUGACAAAUUACUUUUCCGAGUUACGCCUCACCGGCGUCGUUCACGCCUUCCGGCUAUUUUCUGCAAUGCACGUGUUCCUUACGACGUGGAGGUGACGUGUUUCCUGGUGGCUUUAUAUACAAAAAAAAAAAGAUUCUUUUGGUUUCCUUUUCUUUUUGCUGCUUCUUUUUAUUUUUUUCCCCCUUUUGGAAAAGAAAUGCAUAAAAUAUUAUUUUAUUUUUUGGCAAAUGGAUUACAUUAGUUGCCCAUUAGCUCUGCCAAGAUAGUGCAACUUUUCUCAAGUAUUCUACAUUAUAAUUUUUUUUAUUUCAAAACAUAUAUUGUAAGUCCGAAAAAAAGAAAAUAAAAUAAAAGAGACAAUAUAUACCUUCCACAUACGUUUGAAUUUGCAAAACGUUUCUUCCCUUCCCGGCUGGCCGGCUAUCGGCCAGAAAAAACGCAAAGUGGAUUCGUAAAAGAAGAUGCAUGACUUUUGAGGGUUAGGCGGUGAGACGGAGGUUUUGAUUUUCUUUGUAUUGCUAUUUCUUUUUCUUUUUUUUUUUCUCUCUGGAAAGCCAAGAUUAACAUUCUGAGGUGGCAUGAUUUCUGGGCAACUAAUCACCCUUUUUCCUGUCUUUAGCUACAAAAUGCACGUGGUGGUUCAGGUUCACGCUUCGUAGCAGACAACAACGUUUAAUGUCGAAGCAACUGAAAAUGUUCGGUAACUAUAAAUAAAAUAAAAUAAAAUAAUUGUUUUUGGUUGGAUGAUUGGAAGGCAGGUAGCUAGCUAAUCUAAUUUGUUCACCAUUAUCAUUUCCCAACAAUUUAUUUUAUUAUCAUUUGUCUGUGGAGCACGUCAUCCCACCUCUGACCCCACCGCGACCAUCCCUUUUUAAUUUCUUUAUAGUAAAACCUCAGGGAGGGCUUUUCCCUAUUUUGAGACCAAGGGCCUGUUUGGAACUUAAGUUUUUUGAGAGUUUGUCUAAAACUUUACUGUAGUGCACUGUAGAAGUUUUUGAAAAAAUUUUGAAGAAAUUUUUGUAAGGUGAAAAACUUUUUUUUCUCUUUUCCUUUCUUUUUCUUUUUCUUUCCUCUCUUCUUCUUCUUCUUCUUCUUCUUCUUCCCCGUUACCUCCACCACCCCCAGCAGCAACUCCACCUCCCGCCGCCCCCCUCUGCCCCGCCUUCCCCUUUUGCCCCUUCCGCCGCCCCCCUCGCCACCCCCUCUGUCCCUUCCCCCUCUGCCCCGCCGCCCCCCUCUGCGCCACCCCCCUUUGCGCCGGACGUAGAGACAAAAAAAAAAAAAGACAAGAGAGGAUGAUGGCAGGGGAGGAAGAGGGGGAGAGGGAAAAAAAAGGAGAAAAAAAAAGACCGGCACCGGCACCAGCACCGGAAAUUGGUGACGGAGCAGGCAAUGAAGGUGGUGGUGGGAGAGGAAGAAGAAGAAAAGGGGAAGGGAAUUUUUUUUUUUUUUUUUUGUGUUUUGGAUAUUUUAAGUAUGUAGGUUUAAAACUUUGAUAAGUUUUUUGGGGUUUCUGUAGCAAAAGUUGUUAAAAAACUAGUUUUAUACAAACUUGGUAAAAAACCAAGCUUCCAAACAGGGCACAAGUUCGCCACGUAAUUUUGGAUUGUGAUUUUUCUUGAUAGAAUGAAUUCAACACUUUGUCUCCCACAAAAUUUGUCACAACAUGUGACGGUCUUCAUUGAUCAGUUUCGACGACGGAGUUUCUACUCACAUAGACUCCUUUCUCCCUUUCCCUUAGAAUAGGUUAGUUUAAAUUAUAGGAAUUCUAUCGUAUCGACAAAAAAAAAAAAAGAAUUCACCAUUUUUUUUUAAAAAAAAUAUUUCCAAAUACUUGGAAAGCUUCACGAAAGAAAGUACAACUAGGUAGAAAAAAAAAAAAAAAGAAGGUACAAGAGCUACACUUGCAAAAAAAUAUUUGUAAUGAUUAAUGAACCUGAAUUUCAGGGCCCCUGCAGGAGUUAGUUGCAUGCUCAAAUCUCAGUAGUUUUUCUUUUUUGCAUGUCCGCCCACUCAUGGCCACGACCCUUCCCUGGGAUUUUUCACAAUAUCUUUUCCUAUGCCUUUUUAAUAUCUUAAUUAAUUAACUUGGCGAAGCAUUGUGUGGGUCAAAUAAAAUUUUUUAAAAAAUAUUAUUUUUUAAAAUUGCGGGUCGGUCACUUGGUCCCGCCCAUGCCCUAUCGACAGUCACUGCAGAUAAGUGUGCGACAUCGAUGGUCUACCCACUUCAAUUAAUUUAACAAAUUGACUCCUUUCUUCUUCUUCUUCCUUUUUUAAAAAAAAAAAAAAAGAAAAACAUUGGGAACAAGAAGACCAGUGAUCAAUUUGUUUCGGGAUUCCUAGGCGUUGUUCUUCUCUUCUUAAUUUCUGAGCUUCUCCAUAGAUAGUUGCAAUCAUAAAGAUACUAAUAAUUACGGGGAAUUUCGAACCCAGGGCCCAGGAUUUAGCAAAAUUAAGGGCUCGAGGGACGUCUACAUUUUUGAAACCAGCAUCACUAAUCCAACUCAAAUACGACACGCAGAUUCUGUAGAGAACUAACUAUUCCCACUCUUUUUUUUUUUUUUUUUUUUGGGUUUGGUUUUUCCUGGAAUGGUGGAAAGAAAUGUUUCUAUGUACUUAAAUUGAUGAGAUGUACUGAAUUUUAGUGGAAUUCGGAAAGAAUAGUAUUGAUACUAAUAAUUACGCUGGGGACAACCUAAGAAAAGAACAAAAAGGAGAAAGGGAUCCAUAGUUGCAUCCAAUGGAAGAUAUACUCCCUCCGUCCCACUUUGAUAGUCCUGUUUUUUUUCACACAGUUUAAAAAAAAGUAGUUAAUUUUGUUGAAAAAGUAAAUUUAGAUUAUUAAUUUUCUAAAAUACCCUCACAUUAAAUGUGGUACAACUUUAUGGGAACUUGAAUUGAUGGUAAAAAAACGAAUCAAUUCUCAUUAAAUGGGGUAGGUUUAUAGUAACAACUACUUACAUUGAAUAAGGGUAUUUUAGAAAAAUUAAAAUACAACUACAUUCUUCAAUUGGAAAGUGGACUACAAUUUGAGACAGAUGAAAAGGGAAUACAAGACUAUCAAAGUGGGACAGAGAGAGUACUACUUAUGUAUGCAUGAGCCUUCCAUCUAAAAAAAUAAAAAUCCGAGAUUUAGUUGCGGCGAUGAGUCUUCGUUACUUUUUUUUUUUUUUGGAUCAAUCGUCACUUUUUUUAUCUAUAUCCUACUUUAUUCUAAUCUAACUAAGGGAAAUGCCAACUGGACAUACGGGAGGUUGAUAUAGAUAGUGACGGAACCAGGAUUUUUUCCUUGGGGAUGGCCAAAAUUUUUUCGGACAUAAUUACCUUAACAUGUUAUGUUCAAAAUAAUUUUCAUUUAUUUAAAUAUAUGACAUCCUAAAAUAUCAAAUUUUAAUUUUAAUUAUAAAGGUAUGUCUAUUUCAUAAAUAUAUAACAUAGUCAUAACUAAAAUUAAGGCAAGCAGUAACCUUUGAUUAAAUAUCAUAUAACAUCACAAACCACCUAAGUUGCACAUUAUGAGAAGAUGUCCCAAUAUGUCACUUGUGCAAAAACAAAAAUAUAACUAUGCAAUAUAAAUAUAAACUAUUUUCAAUUAAAAAAAGAUAAAAGUUAUGUUAGCAUACCUUGAAAUUUUAUCCUCUUUUAUUAAAAGUAAAUUGACAUUUACAUUCUUUUAUAGAACUAAAUUAAUGUAUAAUUGAAUCAAUGCUAAAUUUUCGAAUAACUUUCUUUUUUUAUGUACAUUAUUAGGCAAUCAUUCAAGAAAUUAUCUUUUAUCUUGUUUUGGAGCUUUGUUUUGAUUAUUCUCAUAAUUAAAAAUAUCCAUUCUAUAGACUAUAGAACGGAGCCAAGCUUUUUUCCUUGGGAGGGGGGUCAAAAUUUUUCUGAACAAAAUUAUCUUAAUAUGUUAUAUUCAAAAUAUUUUUCAUCUGUUUAAAUAUAUGACAUCUUAAAAUAUCAAAUAUUAAUUUUAAUUAUAAAGAUAUGUCUAUUUCAUAAAUAUGCAGCAUAGUCAUAACAAAAAUUAGGAUAAAAAUAACUUUUGAUUAAAUAUCUUAUAACAUCACAAACUAUCCAAAUUGUACAUUAUGAGAAAAUGCUCCAAUAUGUCACUUGUGCAAAAAACAAAAAUUAACUAUGCAACAUAAAUAUAACUAUUUUCAAUUAAUAAAAGAUAAAAAUUAUGUUAGCGUACCUUGAAUUUCAACCUCUUUUCUUAAAAAUAAACUGAGUUUUAUGUUCUUUUAUAGAACUAAAUUCAUAUGUUAUUGAAUUAGUACUGAAUUUUUGAACAAAAUUUUUUUUAUGUACAUUGUUAGACAAUCAUUCAAGAAAUUGUCUUUUAUCUUGUUUUGGAUCUUUGUUUUGAUUAUAUUCAUAAUUGAAAAUGUCCAUUCUAUAGUUGCAGUUGACAUAUGAAGAGUGAAAACAAAUAUAAUCAAUCUGUCAAUAACAUGAUAGAUUACUCAAUUUCGCGUCUUCACCAAAUCUUCAAGUAAUUAUUUGUAUAUUUGUAUAUGGGUCAACAAGAGUAUAGAUCACUAAUUUUAAGUUUUUUUAUCAAUCAGGCUAUGUUGCAUAUUUGUAUAUGGACCAAUGAAGUAAUUUUUUUUGUUUUAGCCCAUUGAUAAUUAUGAAUUGAGUCUUUUAUUAUAAUAUAUCAAAUUGGGUCAAUUUACUAUGGAUCAUCAAAAUAUAUGUUUAAUUUUUUGAAUGUUAAAUAAUUAGCACAAUACAAAAUAAAUAACUUUUUUUGGAGAAAAAAUUAAAUCAAAGGUGGCUAAUUUAUACACACCCACACACAGAUAUAUAUAUAUAUAUAUAAGCUCUCAUAAUAUAAACUAAAAUUAUAAAAAAUCAGGGGGGCCAACUUUGUCUUAUACAUAUAUUUACAUAUUAUGAAUUAAAAUUUUCAAAACUUAGGGAGGGCCAUGGCCCCCCUUGACUCCGUCAUUGGAUGGGGACAUAACCACCAUCGAACUAGACGGGUAUACUAUGCACCCAUCUGAAUUUUUUAAAGAAUCACAUAAUGUGACAAUUAGUGGGAGACAAGUUUUGACCGUUGCCGCUUGGUGGUGGCCACCAGCCUUUAGUCUUCGUUAAUUAGUAAAUAUUCAUUAUUAUUCCUUUGAUCAUGUUUGCAUGGGCUAAGUUGGUCAAGGAAACGAGCGAAAAGGCGCAGCGUCAUGGGUCAACACAGGAAUCUCAACUUCUGACGGAAUUACCAUGCAAGAUGAAUCAAUCCUUUCUUUCUUUCUUUUUUUUUUUUUUCAAAUAAUAGAUGCAAAUCGCUAAUUAAGUUAACUGAAAAUUUGCAUCAGAGGUAGCUUAUUUCAAUAACCCCACGGGUUUAAUGCACCGAAUUGCGAUGUUGUUGAUCCUAUGCAGGUACCUGGAUAAAAUGAUUCUUUUUUUUUUUUGUGGUAAUUUUUGGGUCCAGUGAAUUGGGCCAGUUCAAAAUCCAUCCUCUAGCUGGAGCUCUUGAUUUCUUGACCCUCUUGCCUCUUGGAAUGGUGGUGGCGUAGGCUGAUGGAUUUUCGUAAGUUCAUGGAACGGGCUUUCCUGAAAGUCUGGGGAAACAAGGUUCAAGUUGGUCCUUGUUCUAUGGUUCGAACAGAUCUGCUCAAGAGGACUCUGCCCUCUGGGGAAUGCGGUUUGGACUAGAAGGACAUCAGGCUCAUAGGCCCACUUCUUUUACAUAUAUAGCCCGUUAACAUUAUGGCAAUGUCAAAAAUUUGUUAAAUUACAGCAAUGCGCAAAUGUCGAGUAAUUAUUCAACCAGAAAAAAAAAAGUCGAGUACUUAACUAAAUUAGUAAUCAUUGACAUUGUUGCCUAUACACCAUAAAAGGACCUCUACAUAUAUUUGUAGUGCACUUAGCGAUAUGGCAUCAAAUCAAAUUUGUGACUGAAUUGGUUAGCACGAGUUAUUUUCUCAUAAAAGAUUGCAUGCUGUAAAGAAAUUUUUAUAAUCAAUCUAUGAUUUUGAAAACAUAUACCCUGAUCCAUUGUAGUAAUUGAAGCCGAGAACUCAUUUAUGCUUGAUAGUUACCCAAAAAAAAAAUAUCAAAUUUGGACUAUCUCAUUGUUCACAAAAAGGUACAAAUAUUUUUCUGGUGUCAAUUUUAUUUGAGAAGUCGGAUUUACAAAAAAAAAAAAAAAACUCGUUUCUAUGCAUCAGCAACAACGCUCUAAUCAAAGAAGAAUGAAGAAGAUAGCAGAAAUAAGUGAUUCACAAAUAAAGAAGGAACAACAAACAAUACUGUAGAAUUGAUAAUUCUAGAGCCAAGUGUUAGUUAACCUCGUGCAUGUUUUUUGGGAACCUUACACACAUAGUUUUGUGGAAAAUCUCGUAUCAAUAGUCUAAUUUACGGCAAGUGAAACAGCUUGAAUAUACUGUUGGGCAGAGGUAGGGUUGCAAACGAAACGAGCCGAGUCUCGACUAAAUUUUACCAAGCUCGAGCUCGAGCUCGAUGAGCCGGCAAAUUUCGAGCUCGAACUCGAAAAAAAAAUAAAAAAUAAUUAUUUUAUUUUAAAAAAAAUAAAUAAAAUAAUAUUUUUUUUCUUAAUAAAUAAUAAAAUAUUAAGGAUAUAUACGUAAUUUUACUAUGAAAAUAAAAAAAAUAUAUAUAAUAUACGUAAUUUUAUUAUUAAAUAAAAAAAUAUAUAUAUAUAUAUUUACCCAACCUCGUGAGCCGACUCGCGAACUAACGAGUUUAAUAUUCUGAGCUCGAGCUCGAACUCGAGUUGGACUCGAACAGGCUCGAGCUCGACUCGAGCGGCUCGCGAGCGGUUCGAUUCGUUUGCAGACCUAGGCAGAGGGGAAGCCACAAUUGUAGAGGGAUUCUUUACAUUUGGACAUAUCAUCAACAGUCUAACUCGAGCUCUUUCCAUUCUUUUUUUUUUUUUUUUUUUUUGUGAAGGAUUAAAAUUAGAAAACAAAAAAUGCAAACUUCUCGCUGGUUCUUCCUGUCAAAGUUUCAAACGGAUGUUAUUUUGGGAAUGUAUUUCAAGACCAUCCUAUUUUUCGCUACCCUUAAUUCCAUUACUGGUGGAGCAUUGCUAUAGUGCCUCCUCUGCUGGCAAAACGAUUCAUGACCCAAGAAUUGAACAGCCUGAUUCUAAAGACAGUCGAGUUUUAAUUGUUAGAUUAUUACUACUAGCUCAUAGGCGCUCGUUUCGAAAGAAUUCUUGCUGGCGCUGGCAAUGAGCCACACGAGGAGGAAUUCUUUCGUUUAAUAUUCUUUCAUUUGACCUUCGCAACAAAUAUUCAAGUCAUGGCGGAAGAUCUCGAAAUGCAGGGUAGCGAUGCCGGCAACAACAGGGACUCUGAAGGGCCAAAUGAAACGAGUACCAAGGGUUCCUUCCAUGGGGACCUGAUUCUCGCAAAGAAAUAUCAGCCUUCGCUGCGUCGGCGAAAAGUAAUUAAUUUGUUUCAAUUGUUGAUCAUCAUAAAAUCUGUUGGACUAGUGACAGCCAUCUUGUAUUUUAUGAUCACAGAACGCAACGAUGGGAGAGUCCUUCUAAUUUCCAUCGAUCCCACAGAUGAAUUUAUGGUUACUAAUUCAGACAAAAUGCUGGUGUUUGACGUCUCAGGAAUACACGUUGGUGCAAACAUUGUUGUUGGCGUAUCAGUCUCUUGGAGUCGUGUACGGAGACAUUGGCACUUCACCUCUCUACGUGUUGUCAUCUGUUCGGCUCGACAAACCUACGGAAGAAGACAUGAUCGGAAUCCUCAGUCUCGUCUUUUGGACCUUGACCAUAAUCCCGUUGAUCAAAUACGUCUUCAUUGUCCUUCGGGCUGAUGAUCAUGGCGAAGGUGGAACUUUUGCUCUGUAUUCUUAUCUGUGCAGGCAUAUAAACUUCCGAAGCAAACUGACCAUCCAAAGCACAAGAUUAGAAUCUGAUGCAACCAUGAGUUUUUACACCCAAGGGAGUGCAAUACAGUCUAAGACCAAACAAUUCAUUGAAAACAGUCGCGCAGCACAGAAUCUCCUCACGUUCGUUGUACUUUUGGGUACCUCGAUGGUGAUCGGUGAUGGCGCCUUGACACCGGCCACCAGUGGUAAGCAAUCGAUCAUAAACCCAACAUUCGUAGUAAUGAAUGAUAAUACUCGAAUCAUUAACGGUUGAAAUUCUCUUUCAUUAACGGUAUGUUUCUAUGGCACUUAAAACAUUCCUUCCACGACUAAUAAUCUUUCCGUACAGUUCUUUCGGCUCUUGCGGGAAUUCAAACACUUUCCUCAAAGAUAACAACAGGUACAUUUUUGUUCAUCUGCAUAUCAUGGUAUUUGAUUAAUAAUGAAACUACCAAAAUUAUACAAAUGAGUGAUGUUUGGUCAGGGUAUGUUGUGUUCAUGGCGGUUGUGAUACUGUUGGCUCUAUUCCUUUUCCAGUCAUGUGGGACGAGCAAAGUCGGGUUCUCAUUCUCCCCGAUCAUGUUUUUGUGGUUUGCUGCGAAUGUUUUCAUUGGCAUUUACAAUAUUGUCGCCUAUAAUCCUGCUGUCCUCCGUGGUUUAUCACCUCACUACAUUUUCAAGUUCUUUGGAAAACAAGGCAAAUCUGGCUGGGAGGUUUUAGGCGCCGUUUUCUUGUGCACAACAGGAGGAGAAGCCAUGUUUGCUGAUUUGGGCCACUUUAAUAAGAGAGCCAUUCAGGUGUUUGCCAUUACAAAGUUUAAAUGCUCAAUACUCUGCAUCGAGCAGCCCAUAACAAAUGUUUGCAAGUUUAGUUAACCAAUCACAAUACUGCUUUUGCAGCUGGCUUUCUCCUUCUUUGUCUAUCCAUCUCUGGUGCUGUGUUAUGCUGGUGAGGUAGCUUUCUUGUCUAAGCAUCCCGAUGCCCUGACCAACGCUUUCUACAGCUCCAUUCCUAAGACAGUUUACUGGCCGAUGUUCGUGUUAGCAACCUUGGCCGCAACAAUUGCCAGCCAAUCUAUGAUAUCGGCCUCAUUUUCUAUUGUUAAGCAAUCUUUGGCUUUAGGUUGCUUCCCCCGGGUUAACAUAAAGCAGACAUCCCCCAAACAUGCGGGGCAAAUUUACUCCCCAGAAAUCAACUACAUCCUGAUGAUCAUUUGUAUUGCUCUCGUAUUGAGAUUCAAACAAGGGGUUGAGAUAGGAAACGCAUAUGGUAAUUAAACCGCCUUUUUCAGCUAUAUGAAGUUCGACUCGAGUGAAUAUUGGUAUAUAUGUUGGAUAUUAAUCAAUCUUGGCCUAAUCAACUGCAGGUGUGGCUGUCAUAUGGGUGAUGAUAAUAACUACAUGUUUGGUGACGCUGGUGAUGUUGGUCAUUUGGGAUACAAAGUUUCCUCUGAUCCUUGCAUUUUUCAUUCCAUUCAUAUUCAUCGAGGGCGCAUUCAUGACUUCCUUGCUCAACAAAAUCCCUCAAGGUGGAUGGGUGCCAUUUGCAAUCUCCGGUUUCUUCCUGGUGAUCAUGCUGUCGUGGACUAGCGGGAGGAGCAAAAAGACCUCAUUUGAUGCAGAAAGGAAGCUGAGUCUAACGGAAUUCACGAGCGUGCUGUCGAGUAAUGAUCUCUAUCGUCCCCCUGGUAUUUGUCUCUUCUGUACCGACCUUGUCAAUGGGAUUCCGCCCAUCGUUCGCCAUUAUAUUCAGAGCACAAACUCUCUUCGUGAAAUUACCGUGAUCAUCACAAUAAGGACCCUACCAAUCAAAACAGUCCUUGCAGAGGAGCGUCUUGACGUGGGAAGAUUGGGAAUAGAUGGGGUAUACAGGUGUUUGAUUCAGUUCGGUUACAAGGAUUUGCAGAGCUUGGAAGAAGAUGACAUUGUUGCUUCCAUUGUGGCAAAACUCCGCGACACAGCUGAAACGGAGGAAGAGGCAGAAAAGCUUGGAAAAGCUAUGAAGAAAGGCGUGGUGUUCGUGGCUGGUCGGACUAUUCUCAAAUCGAAGGAGAGCAAUGGAUGGCUUUCUCAUUUGGUGAUAGAUUACUUGUACAGAUUCCUGCAGAAGAACUGCAGAUCAGCACUCACUUCACUUAAAAUCCCUCCUGGAAAGUUUUUACAAGUUGGGAUGCACUAUGAAAUUUAAGACCACCUGCGCGAUCCGUCAGCUUCACUCUAUGAUUCUAUCUAAUUAAUUUUGUUCGAUGUCCUUCAUGGCAGCACUAAUAAUGUAAGUUUCGAACUUUGUCUGCUGUAAAAUUAAGCACAGUCCUACGGUCCCAAGUCUUUGAACAAUGAGUGAGAACGAGGAAAGAUGGUAAAGCGUAUUGAACGAGUAUUAGAUGGAUACUCUCCUAAUGCAUCACAAUUAGCAUAGUGGUUCUUUGUUUUUAAAAAAUUCAUGGAGUGCAAUAAUAUAGGUUAAUGUAGUAGUAGUAGGGUAGAUUUUUGUUGUUGCCAAAAAAAAGUAAAAAAAAAAAGAGCAUUAGAUUAAUACCUUUGGUGACGUAGUAUUUUAUAGGCAAUUUCCCUUUAAUAUUACCACUUCCAUCAUCAAGCUUAACUUAUGCGAGCUUGGAACUUUUUUCCUAAAAAAAAAAAAAAUUAUUUUUAAUUCUGUUCCAAAAGAGUGAGGGUGCAUUUGAUAAAACUGAAAUCUAAAAUCUGAAACACGAGCUCAUCGAAAACAAACAGGCAUGCGUACGUAGAAGUUAAAAUUUUGAAACUAAAGGCUAUUCGAAUUUUCACGGCUUCAAUAGGAUUUUACAUCUUAGAUACAUACCACUGCAUGAAAAUUCUCGCCUGCUGCAUCAAUUAAUGGCUGCCAAUCACUUCGAGAGUUUAAAUAAUUAUUCUUGUUUCUGACCGUAGGUGGACGUGGAGCCAUGAAGCUUAGCGUUAAAAAAUGACCCAAUUAAUGUACUAAUCACUCGGACAGUUUAAUUAUCUUUCUUGUCUCAGUCCGUAGGUGGAACCAUGAAUCUUAGCGUUAAAAAUGACCCAAAUAAAUUACUCCCUCCGUCCCACUUUGAUAGUCUUGUUUCUUUUUUCACACAGUUUAAGAAAAAGUAGUUAACUUUGUUGGAAAAGUAAAUUUAGAUUGCUAUUUUUCUAAAAUACCCUCACAUUAAAUAUGGUACAACUUUAUGGGAACUUGAAUUGAUGGUAAAAAAAGAAUCAAUUCUCAUUAAAUGGGGUAGGUUUAUAGUAACAACUACUUACAUUGAAUAAGGGUAUUUUAGGAAAAUUAAAAUACAACUACAUUCUUAAAUUGGAGAGUGGACUACAAUUUGGGACAGAUGAAAAAGGAAUACAGGACUAUCAAAGUGGGACGGAGGGAGUAUUAGCUUUUUAGAACAAAGUAGUAGUACUUGCCGACAAAAGAGCGACCCUUAGUGGGCAUGGUGGAGCAUGCAUUUCCAUCCGUACCCGUUUAAACAUCCACACCCACCUCACUUAAUUGGUUUUGGAUUACUAAAAAAAUUUAGAUGGACGUUAAUGGACAUCCAAGUAAAAUCAAUUGGUUUGACGUUUUUAAGUGGAUGAUCAUCCACAUAAUCCAUCUAAAUCCAUUUUAAAAAGUAAUGAGCAAGCCCAGCACGUUUUGGCAGUACUAAUGAUAAUGUUUCUUAUAUGCUAACACUUUUUAUGAUGUGAUGUAUGUGAGAUAAAACGGUGAUUGAGAAUAUAAAAAGGUGAAUUGAAAAAUGUGUUUAUAAUGCAAGCGAAAAAUUUGCUAUCCAAACAUAGCCACAGUUGCACUCCCAGUCCAAGACGUUGUUCAGCUCUUCCCACUCACGCGAUCAAAGUUUUUUUUUUUUUUUUUUUCUCUCAAUCCAAUUUAGUUAUCAUCAGAACUCAUCCUAUUAACUUAGGAGUGUCAUUUUAAUCUACCUAUUAGUUAAAGAAAUUAACUUUGUGUUAGUCAAAUAGAUCUUGACUUUGUGUUAGUUAAAUAGAUUUUAAAUAAAAAAUUGAGUAUACAUCAUUCAUUUGGAUCCAAUCCACAUAUAACCCACUUAUUAUAUGGAUUUAAAUCGAUUUGAUUAUUUAAUCUAUGAUCCAUUUAUAUAAAACAAAUUAUGAUCCAAAUAUCCAUUUUUACACCUCUACCUAAUAUUACUUGAAUUCGAGGCUUAUAAUCAACAAGCUCUCGACUCUUUUUUUUUUGGGUAUUUUUUUUCCUUCUUUUUUUGGUUUUUUGGGGGGGGGGGGGGGGAGUUCAUAACAAUCAUGUACGUAAUUUGAUUUCGCUAUUCUUGAUACGUAUAAGCCUCUUAAACAGCAAUCAUUCGUUGAAUUUUUAUUUUUUAAUGUGGGCUCUGUUGUGGAGGCAAUGCUUUUAAAUUGAUUCCUGCACAUUCUGUAUUUCAUUCACAUGGUACCAAAGCCAACUUCGAAGUUCGAUUGCAAAUUCCAAAGCACUCACUAUAGCCAAUUGUCACGUUGGAUCAGAUUCAGGCCGCUCUACAAAAUAAUAACAAGCAUGGAAGGCAAAGUUGCUAACAGCUCCGUGCUAGAAGACGAUCUUGAAAAUGGUGGCACUGGAGAGGACACGGUCGGUUUUCGCCCAGCUGGUGCUGGAAACAUUAUUGAACUAUCAUCUGCCGUGGACAGAACCCUGAGCUUUAGUCGAGUUUUCAAGUCUUCCCCAACGCCAAACGAGCCCAAGGUCUAUAUAUACCAUAUAUGCUUGGUCGAUUGCCAUUUCUCAUCUUAGGUUAUUCAGUCACAUAUAUAUGUUGCCUUGCUUCAGUCCAUAGAUUAAACACACGACCGGCAUGUACACUCAACUCUAAACUAAGUAUCAGGCAACUUUUUUAACACCUAAACACAAUUUUUUUAACAAUCAUAUGAUGUGAUCAGGAAUAUCCAGCGGCGCAGACAUUGUUGUUGGCUUACCAAUCACUUGGAGUUGUGUAUGGAGACCUUGCUACCUCUCCUGUCAACGUGUUUUCCGCUACAAACUUGACAAACGUUACUGCAGAAGAUCUACUGGGGACCUUCAGCCUUAUGUUUUGGAGUUUGACUAUCAUAGUUUGGAUCAAAUAUGUUUUCAUCGUCAUUCAUGCCGAUGAUCAUGGUGAAGGAGGUACUUUCGCUUUAUAUUCCUAUCUCCGUCGACAUAUAAAUUUCCGGACCAAGUUUACAAUUCAAAAUACAAGGUUGAGCACUGAUGAAAGCAUGAGGUUUUCUAACCGCCCCAGCCCCCUACGUUCCAAGACCAAGGAAUUCAUAGAGAGAAGUAUCAGAGCUCAGAAUUUUAUUAUUGUAAUUGUUUUGCUUGGAACUUGCAUGGUCAUUGGGGAUGGAGCACUGACUCCAGCCACUAGCGGUAAUUUCUGCCUCCGAACCAUUCGAAGGAACAAACACAUAUCUUGACAGUCGGGGUUUCAUAACAAUCUCUUGCAAAACAAAAUGUAUUGUUGCUCCGUAAGAAAUUCAUAGCAGUAUUUGAAAUGCUCCUCGUGCGACUUUUAAACUAACAAUAAACAGCAUCUCGGGUCCAAAAGCUCUUUAAAAUCAGGGUUUAUUAUUUCUUUUAUUUUUUUUUCAAGCUCUUUUUUCCCCUUUUUAUGGGCAGUACUAUCAGCGGUUCAAGGUGUCCAAUCCCUCUCUCCAAAGAUUACCCAAGGUACGUACUUCUUGAUUGAAGUUUAUCUUCUUGAGAGUAAAGCAGUCCCAGGAUACUCACAGCAACUACAGAAUUUUCCCUUUUUUGACUGCCGCAGACCAUGUUGUGUUCACGUCCGUUGCUGUUCUGAUACCACUCUUCCUCUUCCAACGCUGCGGAACAAGCAAAGUCAGCUUCACCUUCUCUCCAAUCAUGCUACUCUGGCUGGCUACCAAUGCUUCCAUCGGAAUUUACAACAUUUUCAAAUAUUAUCCGUCCAUUCUCAAGGCUGUGUCCCCUCACUACAUAGUGCUGUUCAGUUCAAGAAAUGCCAAAACUUUAUGGAAUCUUCUUGGUGCUGUAUUCUUGGGCAUAACAGGUACUGUCCUAGAAUUUUCUGGAAAAGUUUUAAGGAUUUUCUACUUCCGAAUUUAAUGAAUUUGAAAGCAAAAAACUCUGAAAUGGAUCUGCCAGUAAAGCUUCACUUGAACUACAAAAGGUUCACUUGAAUUUCAUAUAUUGAUUGGGACAGGAGCCGAGGCCAUGUUUGCUGAUCUGGGUCACUUCAACAAGCAAGCAAUUCAGGUGAGGAAUCACAAAACCAUCUAUGAUUGCAUUUACGUUGGAAAGGGAAAAUACAAAAUAGACGUGUUUACUCGUGAACCCAAAGAAUACAUAUAUGCAUAUUGCGUCACAGGCAUAUUUAGAUUUAAUAAAAAAUUAGAACGCUGUACAAAUUAAUGCACGAUCAUACUACUAUUUUUAUUGUAUAUUUUUGUGAUGAGUGAAUAUUUUGGUAAGUAUUUAUUCGUCUAAUUUCUGGCUAUCAUGGUUAUUUGGCUACUUGAUGGCAAGGCAACUUAGCUCAUUCGUUGUUUUGUGCAGUGGGCUUUCUCAUUCGUUGUUUAUCCAGCAUUAAUCAUCACCUACGCUGGUGAAACGGCUUACCUAAUCAAGUAUCCAGAGAAAAUCAAUAACGCCUACUACAGUUGCCUUCCGCGUCCAGUAUACUGGCCUAUGUUUGUCAUCUCCACACUGGCCGCCGUUGUUGCUAGCCAGUCCAUGAUAUCUGCAAGCUUUUCUAUCGUGAAGCAGUCACUGACCCUCGGCUGUUUUCCUCCAGUCAAAAUGGUUCACACUUCUUCCAAGCAUGAAGGGCAAGUUUACUCCCCAGAAGUUAACUACGCCCUAAUGAUUCUCUGUGUUGGUCUUGUCAUUGGAUUUAAAGGCGGCGUUGCACUAGCAAAUGCUUACGGUAAGCUUCCCUUCCCUUCCCUUCCCUCAAUUACUGUCGAUGAUGACCGUACUUACAUAUAUAUAUAUAUAUAUAUAUAUAUAUGUAUAUAUAUAUAUACUAGGGUAAUUAAAAAAAAAAAUGAAGUUCUGUUGGCUUCUAUCUGUACACAUUGCAGGUGUGGUUGUCAUCUGGGUCAUGCUCAUAACAACUCUUUUGACCUCGUUAGUUAUGCUCGUCAUCUGGAACUCCAAUAUACUUCUAGUCCUAGGUUUUCUCGUACCAUACGUAUUAAUUGAGGGCAUCUUCAUGACGUCCAUGCUUAACAAAAUUCCACAAGGAGGAUGGGUGCCAUUUGCCAUCUCAGCUAUCCUCGGGACUGUGAUGCUGUCUUGGACGUAUGGAAGGAGUAAGAAGAGCAUGUAUGAAGGAGGAGGAAAGAUGAGCAUUGGUGAGUUAAACCAGAAGCUAUCAAGCACUUGUAUCUUUAGAACGCCAGGAAUUUGCUUCUUUUUUACGGACCUUGUCGAUGGUAUUCCACCAAUUAUCCGGCAUUAUAUUCAGCACACUAAUUCAGUUCGUGAGAUAAUGGUGGUAGUUACCAUUAGAACUCUUCCCAUCAAAACUGUCCUACCAGAGGAACGUUUCGUUGUGGGCAGGUUGGGAGUUGAAGGAGUUUAUAGGUGUUUGGUUCAGCUGGGAUACAAGGACUCGCUAAAUAUGGAAGGUGGUGAUUACGCUCGAGAAAUUGUGGCUAAGCUACGAGGAAAUGCGGACACUACAGCCGAACAACGAAAACUUCAUUCUGCCUCAGAAAAUGAAACUGUUUUUGUCAUGGGCAGGACAAUUCUUGCUGCAAAUGAGAACGAUGGAUGGCUUGCCCGUUUCACCAUAGAGUAUUUGUACAGAUUUCUUCAAAAGAACUGCAGGUCAUCAGUUUCGGCACUUCAUUUGCCACCGGAAAAGACAAUGCAGGUUGGAAUGCUAUAUAGACUGUAAAGCAAAUCUAGGAAGUCGCCUAGUUUCUUAGUAUAUGGAUGCUAGUACAAAAUGAAGCCCUUCAAGCUAAUAUGUACAUGAGCAGAAGAAUAUCCAAUCCUCGUUCCGGUACCUAUAUGUUCAGGUCAAUAAGGCUACAUGCAAAAUCGAUUUCACGCUUAACUCGAAAGUGAGAACAAGUUAGCCUACUUUCAAGGAAAGGAAUCUAGCACACCACUUUUCUUGCAGCCUCUAAAUUGAAUAUCGAUUACACUUGCAAACUAGAGAUUCUCAACUGCUAUGUGACCAUCUACUAACUUUUGCCAUCGUCUAAUUUCAAGCUUGCACCCCCACUGAUUGAAGUAGAUUGUAACACAAAAUUUUCAUAAAUACUAGUCCAGAGGCCCUGCGCAUAGCGUGACCCGUGUUAAUAGUGUGUUUGUGUGGUGACGUUUUAAAUUUUUUUUUUUUGUAAUGUGGUGAAUGAAUUGAUGCAGAAAAAUAUUUUGCAAUAUGUAAAAUAAUUGCGAGGUAGUUUGUUUUGAUUGAAUGAGGGUAAUUGGAAAGAAUUAUUGGUAGGUUAUUAUAUAGAAUGUGAUUUAAUGUUGAAGUAAAACGAUAGCGUGUAUAUAUUGUAUAGUUAUGAAAUUGGACAAUAUGGGAAUAGUAUUAAAUGUUGAAAGGCAUAACUUUAUAGUUAUUUCAUAUUGCAGCAACUUUUGCAAGUUCAUUAUCGAAUAUGUGCAUUCGAUACUCGUUCAUGCCUAAGUGGGUAAUUAUGAGAGCAUAGCAUAGUCAAAUAAUAUGGUAUCAUAGCAUUUUUUUUGCAUUCAUAGGUUAAAAAUUUAUCUUCAACUUUGAUGUCCCAACAUUUGUGUUGGUAAUAGAAGAUGAUUAUAUUGUUUUUGUUUGGCAAUAUAUUUGCUGUAUCUUCUGGAUGGAAUUUGUGCAGAAUAACAUAAAUGGCUAAAAUAAAUUUAUGUGCAAUUUUUUUGUAUGUCUUUGGGUUAAUACCUGUUUAAAAAAUUUGGCUUCCUAAAAUUUCCAUGUCCAUGGGCUUGAUGACUACAUAAAAUGCAAAAUUUAUGAGGAAACUUUAUCUUGCAGAAAAUGCUUGCAAUUGUUAAAUAAAUAAAUAAAUAGGAAGUUGUAUUGUUAAAUUCUGUGGAUAUAUUUUAUUAUUAAUUAUGUUACCAUGUUGCUUUUGCAUAUGUGCUUUCAAUAGGGAUGAUAUUCCAUUCAUAGAAGCUAGUGUAGUGAUUUGGGUUGAAAAUUUGAACUCUAAAUGUCAUCACUCCAAUGUGGAAAAAAUGAAUUAGUGAGUUUGGCUGCAGAUUGCGAUCAUCAAUGAAUUUUUUCCAUCUAGAGUUUUGGGGAUUUUCAUCUAGUUUUAGAAACCAUAUUUUGUUUCCAACUUUGAAAAUUGCUUUUCUUCUUAUGUGUGGUUCCAAGUAAUGUAUAAUUUUUGGUGGUAUGACCUGCAAUUAAGAUCUAAAUAUGUGUUAAAUGUGUUUCGGAGAAAAAUUGAUGUAAAUUAAGGAAAUUUUAUAAAAUGGAUACCAAUGUAUCAUCGUCUAGCUCAUUAUACUGCAUCAAGAAUGCAUUGAUUGGAAAAAUUGUAAUGGACAUGUUGGUGCGAUGAAAUCCAAACCCAACACGACAAAUAAAAUAAUAGUUAGUUAUAUAAAGUAAGAUUGGAUGUAUUAGCUUUUUAUUUGUUUUAAAUAGUAAUUGUACUUGAAUGAAGAUGAACUGGUAGAUAUAAUUGUAUAAAAAAGGCAAAAAGAUAAUAUUUUUACAAUAUAAUUAAAAUACUCAUGAUCAUAAUUGUGUAAUAAAAUAUAAAGUUAAAAGCUCAAGGCAUACCCAGAACAAAUGCUAAGAAGAGAUCUAAAUUUGGUAGACACAAUAUUUUCUUUGCUUUAGUUUAGCCAGCACAACUUCUUCGGAUUUUUUUUAUGGAUAUAUUUUUUUUAUUUUCUUUAUGAAUACAUAUAAAUGUCUAUAUAAGUCGAAACUCAUUGUUCCAUGUAGAAUUUACAUUGCAUGGUAUAUUUUGUAACCAUCAUUGGAAUUACUUUUACAGCAAUCAAUUAAAGUAAUUAUUUGUUUAUCCAUGCAAAGCAUUCACCCUUUUAUAUACUUUUAUAUAUGCACAUGUGGUUCAUAAACCAAACAUUCGAAGAACCAAUUACGAAAUUAAUUGAAAAAAAAUUAAAAUAUCGAGAAUAAGAAAGAGUUUUUUUUUUUGAAAAUGAAAAAAAUGAAUUCUAAGAAUAUAAAAGAAGCCAGUAAAUUAUAGAAAAUAUAAAAGAAAAAGUCAUGGGAAACAAAAAAAGAACAGAGUAAAAAGGGGAAUUUUCCAAUAAACAAGAGCAGAGGUUGUCAAAAGCACGGUACAAAAAACCAGCCCAUUCGUCUGGUCCACAUAUGAUAACAGUAAGUAAACAAAAAUGAGGGUCAAAAGCCAAUAAAAUUACAAAGGAACCAAGCAACUAAAGCAUACAUGCUGAACUAAGGAAACAAUGAAUGGCAUAACAGAAAAAUAAGAGAUAUCCAAGCCUAAAGUAAUACUCAUAAAUAUGUAUGUGGGCCAUGUCUAUGGAUGAGAAGAGGCAAGAAAGACACACGUAAAAAUUACAAAGAAACCACUUUACUAUACCGUCGAUCUUCCCAUGUGCUGAGUAAAAGAGGAAUAAGAAAUGGCAAAACCGAAAAAUGAAUGACCAUUAAGGCUAAUCCUAAUCACUCUAACAACCGGAAAUGCAAGAGACCGACGCAAAUGGAUCGAAAUACCCUCAACAUUUCAAGCAAUGCCGAAAUACACCCUCUCUCACUGUUCAUUCAAGCAACCCUCACUUUUAUAUAGUUAGAUAGAUAGAUAAAUAAAAUAAAAAAUUAAGUUGGCAUACCAUGUAAAAAGAAGGGCAAUUGCUUGGUUACUUUCGAACAUCAAGUUACAAGCAUCUAUAAGUAUAUACAAAUGAGGUUACGAAAAAGAAGAUUAUAGGUGUGCUUGGAUAGUAAAUUAUUUUUUGAAAAAAUUAUUAUAGCAAUUUUUGAUAUGAUAUAUACGAGAUUAGAAGGUGAUUAAAACGUGUUUAUAUUAUAUUUUACACGCUCCAUGAGGCGAUGAGCCAUCAAGUGAUACCAUUCUUGUUUUUAAAACCUUCUUGUGUUUCUUUUACAAUAAUCCGUCUCACCCCAUGCGACCUUCCAUGCAAGUGAUACCAUUCUCUAGGACAAAGUUGGAAAGAAAACAAAAUCUAUCCGAGCAAAUACGAAUGGACAACUGGAGGAUGAAGCCGAGAAAAAUUUCUUGCCAAUGACAUCGUAAGAACAUUCUUGACUAAGAAACCCUUGAGCAACAUAGGAAGCAUAAACUACGAAAGUUUCGUGUGAUGUUUUCCCACUAAUCUGGAAUUCUUUCAAAUUACUAAUAAGCUCACACCCUAAACUCAAAGCACAAAACGCACUAAGCAAUCACAUAUUAACACCAUCCGAGAUACUUGUAUCAGCAUUCACAAAUUAAUAUUACAUCCAUGUAAAAAAUUAACUUCACAAUGUCUCGUCUGGGAAUGAACUGCCAAGGUCAGCUCGGCAUGGUAAAAGAAUCAGUCACCUUUACACUGAACAAACUGGUAUAAUUGCAAAGCAGAUGCGCAGCAACCAAAUCAACUAAUUUGCACAUAUCUCGAUGGAAAACAAAACUGCCAUUCAUUUCCUCCCAAUUCUUGUUUUAACGCCACCUGAAAUUUGGAACCAAGAAAACAAGGUUCUAGGAUCACAUCAAUCUUAUAAAAAAAAAAAACUACAGCUACAAACUACUGAAGUAACUCUGAAUAUUUAACCAACCUUCCACUUCUUCAAACUGAACUACCUUCACCAGGUCCGCAGCCGCAUUGUACUCAAACCUGCCAGAUCAAACACCAGUUAUCCAAUGAUAUCAACAAAAAAGAGACUUUUACCAUGCUGUCAUUUAGCUCAAACAAAGUAAUGAUAAAUUAUAACCAAGAUAAAGAGAGGUUAAAUUAUUGUGCUAAUGAUUUAUAGUAUGUUAUGCAGCAUGCUUAAACGUUAAAAGAAACACUUUUGACAGAAUAAAUCAAGAAUCCCAGCUUACAAAUAAAAAAUAUAAAAUUUAAACAUAUGAAGAAAAUACUAGAUCUUGUACCCCUUACUCGAAGCAGUUAUUUCGACCACAUAUAAAACAGAGUAUAUACCAUCUCAGCAGUUCAAAAACAUUACGAGGAGUUGUCGAAAGUGGAAGUUAUUUCUCUAAGAGACAAGAAGCAGGAUUGCAGCUUUACAGCAUAUGAAGAUAUGAAAGUUAGUAAGGAUGUAUAAUUGUUCGCUAAAGGAGCUGAGUAAACCAUUGCUGCAACCUUAAAUGAAUAGUAGUUGUGUGAUCAACAACCACAAAGCAGAAAGAACAUGAGAAACUGCGGCCAGAACAUAGGCUGUCCAUUACCUGUUAGAGUGAAGCACAUCCAGUUCAUAGUCAGAUGCACUUUUGGUAGCUUCUACCAGGGCAUUUACAAUCUCUGCCUUUCGAGUACUAGCCAUAAGUAUAUCAUACUCUGUUGGGAUAAUUAUAGCAAAAAAGUUAUCACCCAGUUCACUCAAACUCAGCUUCUCAACAGCUGCUAGUGCAAUCCGCCUUUUAAGUGCAUCGCAGUCUGGGUCUACUACAUAUAUUGCAAAAUCAGUAAUCAAAAGUAUACGAUGCUUCAUCUUCCCAGAACCAGUAAAUUUCAAAACUUUAUCUGCAAAGAGAACUUUACUGUCACCUGUGACAUCAAAAGUCCGAGAAAACUUAGCGUUCAAGGAAGAACAUUUCAGCUAACUGGUUAACACAAAACUGAGUACAAAUAACUCCUGACGAGCAACAACAACUUUCAGCCUAACACACUACAAACCAGAGGUCCAAAGGAAACACUCAAAGAGCACAUCAAGCAGGACCAUCAUAUGUAGAGUACCAAAAUUGAAAAAAAAGAUAGCUCAACACAGCUGUUGGAAAAACUCUAGAACACCAUUUUCGAAGUAGGUUUGUUAUAGUACUUGACAAUUCUAACACAAAUAUCAAAAGAAGAAAGGCAAACAGUCACCACAAUCAGAAAAUCAUACAAAAGACCACGAACAUCUUGAAUCAGAGCAACAAAAUAGAAUGGAUUAAAAAGAAAAAAAAACGCACUUGCACACUUGAGCGCACGAAAAAAUAAAUGCGCAAAACUCAUACGCCUGGUAAGAGUCACAAAACGGAGUUCUUAAUUCCUCCUUUUCAAAAUUAUAUAUUUCGCUUAGAUCCAUCUUAAUAUUACACAAAUACACUCAACUAAAUGAUCAACGAUGACAUGUCGAUAUUUGCUACUAUAAAGAAAAAAGACAAGCAAAAAAACUGAGUACAUUAAAAAAAAAUCCAACUGAAUUUGAUUAGAGGGAGCAGAACCAGUCCCUGGUUAAUUGAAGAACAAAUAGAUACACAAUAACACCAUGAUUAACUAAUGAUAAUAACAUCAAGAUAUCCAAGGCUUCAAAUUUCAAGUUUUUCCGAUACAAUUUCCCUAAAGCACUAUAAAACGACAACCGUCAAAUUAGAAUCGCGUCGAGAUUAAAAGGCUGCAAAUUAUUACCUUGUUUGCUGAGAAUCUUCAUGAGAUAUGAUCGAGAACGCACGUUGACAUAAUCUUUACUGAAAAGGGUGUUAUUUUGGAUUCCUCCGUUUGAGUGGCCGUUGUCUCGGGUUUCAGGGGAUGCGGUGUCUUCGUUGUCGUCAUCGUAAAUUGGCUGGUCUUUUUCCAGCCGCCGAUUGGAUUGGAACCGUGACAUCCCGGGAAAGGUGGCAAGCCGGCGGCUUCGGACGGUGCGGGAUGCCGCGCCGGUGGUUGUGGCUGCUGGAUUUGUUUAGGCGUGGAAACGGGAGAGAUUAGACAUUUCGGAGCACGGGGCGGCCCCACUUCAGUUGGUGGGGUUCCAGCUGUUGUGAUUGGGAAAAUGUCUAAGUUUAAUUACAUAAUGACUCCUUGAAAUUUAAUGAUGAUACCUUUCGACCCCUAUUAUUUGGACAAGUUCACUUGGCGGAGUGUUUUUCUUAGAUUCAUUGAAAGUGCAUCCUUUGCAAAUGUUUCCCUCCAAACGUGAAGAAGGAAAACCCAACAAUUCACCCAAUUCACCCACUAAUUUGAGAUGUUGGAUUGGGUAAGUUGAAUAUUGAGUCAAUUUUGAGUUAGAUAAUAAAAACCCACAUAUAUUUUGGAUUGUUUGGAUAUUUGUGUUGGGUACCCAUUACCCAACUUAAGUUAAAAAAAAAAUAAACUAAUUACAAGAGAUGGGAUAGGGGAUACAUAAACAUUUCAUUGUUCAUGAAACAACAUGAGACAUGAGCCAAAGCAGGGCCUCCAUGUAUAGAUACUUAACAAAAUUAUAUGAGCGGCUUAGCUAUAAUACUUACUUGCAUGCGUUGACGUUUUAUUAUUUUCCUAUAUUUAGAGCAUUCCACUCCUUUUACUUUCAUAAUAUUUUUUGCCACUUCUUCUUUUGUCAUGUAAUCAAAUAUAAGCCCAUCUGGAUUGUUAUUUUUUGAAAAUUAUAUUAAAAAAAACAUACUGUAACAAUUUAAUAUAUAUAUAAUAACAAAAUAAUUAAAAAAUGCAUUCAAUAAAACAUUAUAAAAUUUUUGGGAUAAAAUAACAAUCCAAGAAAGUUUGCAAAUACCAUAUCAUAUGUGUGUCUUUCCCACUUCUUGUUAUACUAGUACACCAAUAUGCCCCACUUCUUAAGUGUGCAUUUGUAUUUGUAAGUGUUUUAGUGUGUGAAAAUAUGUCUAUUUAUGUGUUUAUGUGUGUGAAAAAGUUGUUUUUAUGUGAAAAUAUAUUUAAGAGAGUUUAUGUAUCAAAAUCUAUUAAUUAAUAUAUUUGAUCAUAUUUGGGUCAUAGGUUUGAGAUGACCCAAUAUGAUCCAACUCAAAAUUAACCCAAUCUAAAGUUGAACGGAUUGGUGUAACCCAUUUAAAUAAAAAUCCAAUCCAACCCUCCCAAUUGCCAGAUAUAGUCGGGAGCAUAGAUAUGCUAAAAAUCCAAUCCAACCCUCCCAAUUGCCAGGUAUAGUCGGGAGCAUUGAUAUGCCUUGACAUUUUGAAGGAGCAGUGAACCAUAGAUGUGGUUUUUGGCUGCUUAUAGAUGGUUGUAAAUUGAUGUUCGAAAGUAACCAAGUAAUUGCCUUCUUUUUUACAUGGUAUCUCAACUUAUGAUCUUCCUUUUCAUAUUCUAUGUUUUGCUUGGGAGAGCUAGGACAAAUUAACCUCAUUUGUACAAUAUUUGAGAGAGAGAGAGAGAGAGAGAGAGAGAGAGAGAGAGAGAGAGAGUGAUCCAGCAUCUUCAUGCAAAUAGCAGUUAAGAACAACGAAAUGCAAAGUAGUUGACCAACCUCAUUUUACAUGGCAGGUAUUCUUGGACGAGCAAAAGAAGAUACAAGGACGUACUACCAAACAAUGCGACUAAUUAAAGCUCACUAGUUGAGCAAUUAGACAUAAUGGGAGAAAAAUUAAUACCAGCAUAUUUACUCCUUUAAUUGAAGUAAGAAUGGUACACUAUUGUUGACCAGAAGUCGAAGCUAUAUCCGCAGCAAUCGGUGUAAG
rnacentral:lncRNA from 1 species